rnacentral:lncRNA from 1 species
AGCUACUUGUCUUGUGUAUUGACUGACUAAUUGUAGUUAGCAUGGCACGUCAGGCAGACCGUCUUGCUAAGAUUGGGCUGGAGGGCUUUGCAGCCAUAGAUGAGGCCAAGAGGCGGCCACCAGUUAUGAAGGUUCCCUAUGCUCAUCCCACAUAUUACUAUGCAAACCAAAUUCCUGCAACAGCAGUUAUCGACAGCAACGAGGCAGCUCGACGCUACAAGGGGAGGGUUUAUAUCGAUUAUCCAAAGGGGAAACCAGUUCCAUUUUAAAGACCCAGUGAUUAAUCACUUUGCUUUCUUGUAUGCAUAAUCUCCUCCACUUGUGUUACCUUUAGUCCUGUACGAUAUUCUCCCUCUGCUAAACGUAGACGAGGAGCUUCUCUUACUUCUUCAAAUAAAAUUUCUGUGAUUUAUAUAUCAUAAUUUUCUAUUUGGCUGGUCAAGUAUGUAUUGUCAUAAUUAUCUUUCUGACUUCCUAAUUAUCACCUGAUUCACCUCUUACUUAGCAUGGAAUUGAAAGAUACACAAGUAAUUUUCUGUUGAAAUGCUUUGAAGCUCUUCAAGCUGUGAUUUCACCGACUUAUUUCGGAACUGUACAGAGCUCAAUGAUGAGCCGUGGGAAGCGUCUCUGAUUAUUGCACUGUAAGCACGAGUGUACGUAUGAAUAUAAACAGCAGAUCUGCUCCGUUAUUGCCAUAUGCUUAAAUAGAUCGCAGGAUCCGCAAACCACAGGUGAUGACAAGCUUCUUAAUAACUAUUAGAAAAUAAUAUAAAUCAUAUCUUGGACCCUCAUCUAACAACUUAAAUUUUUGGGUUGAGAUGGUUUUUUGAUAUGGUAUCAAAGCCUUGAUAACCAAGUAGUCAUAAGUUCAAAUCUCAUCAUUCUUAUUUAUUUAAUAAAAAUUAAGCACAGGGUAAAGUGGGUCUGUGCAAGUUUCAAACCUAAAAGGCUUUCACUCGAGGAGAUGUGUUAAAGAAUAAUAUAAAUCAUAUCUUAAGACCUCACCUAAUAAAUUAAAUUUUUGAAUUAAGAUGGUUCUUUACAAUAACUUCUAUUCUGACUUCAAUAGUGGAUUUAAGGAUAGAAAACCUGUAGGUUUGUGGUCAAGGAGGUUGGCUCUCUUCCUUAUAUUUUUUAUUUCAAACUUUAAUAACAAUACUCAUAUAAAUUUAUUUUUUCUGAAUGAAACUUGUUAAUACAAGAGUGUUAUUUUGAUGAAAAAGAAAAAUCUUAUUUUUAUCCCAUCACACCCCACCUAAGAAAUUAUGUAAUUAGUUAUUUCUAUAAGCUGUUCCAGAGAAUAUAGUCUUAAAUCAUUAUAUUUUACGACUCAUGAUUGUUUUUUUAAUAUAGCUGGGCUAAGAAAGAAAAAUAAACGGAGUUCUAUCUGCAUUUACAAUAGAAUUUUACAAUAGUGAACAAUAUAUCUAGGAAUAUCAGCGAUGAUGACCAUAGAUGGAUCAUGUGUGAAUUCUUAGCAAAUCAUUACUUGUAUAACCAAAAUUUCCUUCACAGCUCUUUUACUAAGCUGAUUGUCGAUGAAAAGUAAAGGAAAAGCAUGAUUCCCAAUCCGAGCUAUGUGAGCAAGUGUAUCUAGUAAAAAUAUCUCAUCUCCCAAGAAAACGAGAUUAGUAAGCCUCCCUUUAAAGCUUUGCUUUGCACACCUUUUCUUGAUCUUUCCCAAUCCUUCAUUAUAAAUGGGACCCAUCAAAAACAUGAGAUGUGCUUUAACCUCCUCCAUAUUUCAUCUUAGCCUAGAAGGAUAAACAAGAAUAUUAUUGCUUCUGAAACAUAACGAUUGCAAGCAUCGCCUUUCGGUGAACUUUUGAUGACAUGAAACUGCCACAAAUUGGGUCCUAUUCCGAGUGAGUUUUCUUUUUCUGCUCUGUUAUCGCAUAUAUACAACUGAAAUCUUUAAGUCCUCUUCAGGGUACCCCUGAAAGAAAAUGGUCUAUCAUGGAAAGUCCUGAGGAAUCUGAGGCAUAUAAUAUGAGAUAUAUAUCGUCCCAAGAUCAUAAAAAUGAUAAAUCUUAAUCUUAUCAGGUGUAGCCAUGAAAUGGGAUCAGAACCUAUUUUCCUAAUUUUAUUAACUAAAGGGAAAGCCACAACCAAGUCUCUGUACUAUAUGAUUGUCCAUUAAUACAGAAUCUAGCACAUCCUUGAGUAGCUAAAGAAAGCUAGAAUAAAGUACCUCUAGCAACAUCUUCACUGUUUAUUUUCUAAUAGUUUUGUUUUGUUAAAUCGCACUUGAAAAUACAGAACCUGUUCUUGAUAUUUCAUGGACAAUAUUUACUCUAGUUGUGCAAGUAACGUAUACACAAAUACCUGUAAUAUUGCAUCAAAAUUCAAACUAACAACAGUAUGUGUAUACUUGUGGAUAUGGAAUCAGCCAGAAGUGGAGAACCCCAUAAAUCUUGAAAACCUCUGUUGAUUGUGAUGGGUCCAAAAAGCAGAAAGCAAGUUACAAGCUGCCUGCUUUCUGCUAAUAUAUAUAAUGCUGCAUAUAUGACCUAUUUUGUACCAAGGCAAACCAUACAGUUUUAAUUGUUCUUUGAGUUAUAGUGUUAAUUUCACAUAUGGCACGUCAGGUAGAUCGUCUCACAAGGAUUGGAAUGGAAGGCUUUGCUCUGAUUGAGAAUAGUUAUGGCUGGCCUGGAAGGUCUGGAAGACUCCCCUCAACUCAGGUACAGCAAAAUCAUCAUCACUAUCAUCAUCAUCAUCAUCAUCGUCAAUACCAAGAUCAGCAAACAUUGGUUUAUCAGGGAACUCAAAUUACCACGGUGAGGAUGCCUGUGAUCAUUAGCAAUGAGGUAGUUCAAUACUAUGGUAACAUGGUGAAGAAGCCUGUUAUUCCUAGCAAUGAGGCAGCUCAAUAUCAAGGGGGUGUGGUGAAAGAGCCUGUUAUCACUAGCGAUGAGGCAGCUCAAUAGGAUGGUAGAAAGAAACGAUUUCGUUUAGAUUAUUAGGUUUCAUGAAUUUACUGAACAUGCUUAAUGUCAUGUAUGAGUAAUCUGAGUCACUUGGUUCUUAAAUCUCCUGGUUUCUUACUCAUAGAUAAAGCAACUUGGUCUGCUAAAGAACCUUGUAAAUUUUAUCUUUAGAGCUCCUGUUGUCACGCAGUUUUCUUAUCUAUAACGUAAUCAGCUUUACUGUAACUCUUUAUGUCUCUCUCUCUCUCUCUAUUUUUGUGUGUGGGUUGUGAUGAUCUUUCUUACUUCUGAUAAGCCAAAUGAUUCUCAAAGCACACCUUGGAAAACAACAGCUAAGGCAAGGCGAAAUGAAAGCUAAAGCUAGGAAUUAAAGAACAAAACAACAUAGAAUAUGAAGGAAAAAAUGAAUAAAAAAACGAAACAACAGAAUUAAAAAAAUAAAAAAUUAAAACAAAAGGAAAUUAGCCAAAAACAAUUGGAAGAAAAUUACUAUGGUAGGAGUUUAUGUUAAAAGAAAGAUAGGUGUUGUAUAAUAUCAAAAAUAGUAAUGCAAAGUCAAAACUCAAUAAGAAGAAGAAGAUUGAGAGAAACGUAUACUUUUAUUAAGUGUUUCUCUCUAAACUCUUUUAGUUAUUCUCUCUGCUUUUAUUCUUUUUAAAAAUGCUAAAUUACAAGUCUUUUAUAGGUAUAAAGUCCUAGAUAAUCAAGGAAUUAAACUAAUACAAGGAAAUUCUAAUAUGAACAAAAAUUGUAUUCUGCCUACUAGCUAAAUCAGUCGACUAGUUCCCAACCAGUGGAUCGGUUCCUCUAUUCUUCAUAAAAACAAGAAAUCGAGUUCAAUUUUCAAAACCCCUUUCUAAACUUGAUUUCUUCAUAACUCGCACAAAUCUCUUAUUUUGGUAAAAACAUCAUAUUCAACUGGUUUUGUGAAAAUAUCUGCAACUUGCUCUUGUGUCUUUACAUACUUGGCUUCAACUUCUUUGUUUGUAAUGCAAUCUCUUAGGUAAUGAAAUCUUGUGUCAAUGUACUUAUUUCUGUCAUGAAAAACUUGAGUUUUAGCUAAGGCAAUAGCUAAUGAGUUGUCCACAUAAAUCUAUGUAGACUUCUCUUAUGGGAUCCGUAAUACUUUCAGUAAUCUUAUUAGCUAUAUGGAAUGACAAACACAUGAUGUAGUAGUUAUAUAUUUAGUUUCACAUGUUGAUAAAGUGACUAUAGAUUGCUUUUUUAAACACCAUGUGAAUGUUGUGUCUUCCAUGUAGAAAACAAAACCAAUAGUGCUCUUUUUAUCAUCCAUAUCUCUAGCUCAAUCACUAUCAUUGCAACCCACAAUAUCAAAGCUAUUAGAAUAUCCAUAAAACAAGCCAAAAUCAACAGUACCUUUGAUAUACCGAAGAACUCACUUCAAAGCUUUGAAGUGUGUCAUAGUUGGUGUAUCCAUAGACCUACUCCCAAGUUCUACUCCAAAAAGAACAUAUGAACAAGUGCAUGUCAAAUAUCUCAAACUCCCAACUAGGCUUUUGAAUGUUGUAGAGUUUAUCUUCUCCUCUUCAUCAUUCUCUAUUAUCUUCACUCCACACUCAACUAGAAUAUUCUUUUUCGCACAAUCUUUCAUCUUGAACUUCUUGAGAAUCUCUUGGCUUACAAAGAUUCCAUCUUCUCCUUGUUUGAUCUCAAUCCCUAAGUAAUAUGUCAUAAGACCAAUGUCUAUCAUUUCAAACGCCUUGAUCAUUGUUUGCUUGAAGUCUUCAAACAUCUUUGGAUUAUUUCCUAUAAAGAUUAAGUCAUCCACAUACAAACAUAUAAUAAGAGUAUCACCACUCUCUUUGAUCUUUACAUAGAUAGCAUAUUCAUAGGAACAUUUAACAAAUGCAUUCUUUAAGAAAAAGCCAUCAAAGUGACUAUAGCAAGCCCUUGGGGUUUGCUUCAAUCCAUAUAAGACUUUGUUCAACUUUAGUACCUUGUCUUUAUGUCCCUUCACUUCAUAACUCAUAAGUUGCUUAAUGUAGACCUUCUUCUCAAGAAAACCAUUAAGAAAGGCUGAUUUGACAUCCAUUUGAUAGAUUCUCCAUCUAUAUUGGGUAGCUUUGGCAACGAUUAAUUGAACGGUCUCCAAUCUAGCAACGAGAGCUAAAACCUCAUCAUAGUCAAUCUCAUACUUUUAGCUUUCGCCUUUUUUCCACUAACCUUUCUUUGUACCUCUCCAUUUCUCCUUCGGCAUUCUUCUUUUCUUUAUAGAUCCACUUGACACCUAUUAGCUUCUUUCCAUUUGGUCUACGAACCAAUUUCUAUGUGUCAUUCUUCUUAAUUGAUGCAAGCUUCUCAUCCAUAGCGAUUCUUCAUUUUUCAUCCUUUAUUACUUCUUCAAACAUUAUAGGAUCACUUGUAGCAAGGUGAUAAUAUAGUGUUACAUCAUCAUCAAUAGGAGUAGUUACCUCAUAUAGCUCAUCAAGGCUCCACAUUCUUUUUGGUGGACUUGAUGGGUUGCCACUACUUGAACUUUCAUUAGAAAAAAAAAAAGAAAAGAGAUAAAGGUAAAGAUGACACCAUUGGUGAUUAUGGAGGUGUAGUUUGUUCUUGAUGAUCUUCAUAUCUCUCCUUCCCUUUAUCAGAACAGACAAGGCUUCAUCUUCUUCUUUCUUCUUCUUUUAUCUUCUCUCACAGGGCCAUUUCUUUUUCUUUCUCUUCUCUUCUCUCUAUCUCUCCUUCUUAGCUAAAAACAAGCAUUCUAUUAUCUUCUCAUCCUCAAGUACGUUGUCUUUUUUCAUUUUCUUUGGGUUUAAUAACAAUCUAUUUUCUUUUGUUUUGUUUUUCUUUUUUUUUUCCUUUUAAUUAUCAGUCGAAAUUAAGCAUACCAUUAAGGUUGGAAUUUUUCAUUCUUUUCUCUUCCCCUUUUUAUGUUUUUUGCAAUAUUUUUGUUUUUUGUCAUUAUUUUUGUUCAAUUUUGUGUUCUUAAUAAUUUUAUGAAUUAAUAAAUGUGUUGAAUUUUAGUUGUUAUUGAAAUAUUGCAUUAUUUUGUUGAAUUUUAGCUAUUUUUUUUUCAAAUUUGUUGUUCAAUUUUAAUUAAAUGUGUAGGAUUAAUUUUAAUUAUUAUUUUGUAUUUAUUCCAUAUAGAAUAAUUUUUUGUAAAUUUAGGAUUAAAAAUAUUAUAACUUAGAAAUAAUUGUGUUGAAUUUUAGUUGUUAUUAUAAUAUUUUUUGCAUUAUUUUGUUGAAUUUUAGUUGUUUUUCUUUUCAAUUUUGUUGUUCAAUUUCAAUUAAAUGUGUAGGAUUAAUUUUAAUUUUUGUAAAUUUGAAAUAUUUUUUUUUAAAUUUAGGAUUAAAAAUAUUAUCAUGUAGAAAAUGAAAAUUUUCUAUGAAAUUUAAUUAUGCUAAAUUGUUAGAAGAAAUUGAAUAAAAAUACCAGGCCUAGUGGAAGAAAUAUGUUGUGUAUUUGUAGGUUUAAAACUUUUGGGUAGUCUUCUGUGUAGGGGAGGUGCUGCCAAUUGUUUUUAAAAAAAAUACGAAUCAUUUAAUUUUUUUUAUUCAUUAAUUUGUGUAGAUGCCUAUAGAAAAGUCUAAUGCACGUCAUGAGGACAAGAUUGCUGCUAGUUCUUCUAGUAGCGAUGCUGACGACCACGAGUCAUUAGGUGCCAAUAAAAAAUAGGAACUUGAGGCACAUGCAUCAACUCACGACGCGGGCUUGUCGAGUGCAAUGUUGCAACGUCGAGGGGGGGUCCCUUCACAAUGGGAUCCAUUUACUUGCAAGUAUGAGGCCUAGUGGAAGGACGACCUUUCAAUGUAAGUUUUGCUUUCGCAAUGACAUGUUUAAUAAAUUUUCAAAAAAUAAUUUCAUUUAAUGAAUGCAAUUUCAGGUUUAUAAAUAUUGAGGCUGCGAGAACAAUAACAUCGAUCUAAAAUCAUCGAUAGAAAUUUCAUUGUUUUAAUGGAGCUAGGUUUCCAAACAUCCUGAAUGGAAACUGCAGCUCAUUGCAUGAUUUUCAAGGUUCAAGGUUGGUAGUAACUUAAAUAUUUUUUUAUGUUAAUUUGGUUAGUUUAUUGAAAUUAUUGAAUUUUUUCUGAGAGAGUUGGAAAAGCAUUACUGCAAAUAUCACUUCUACUAUUAACUCAUCGACGAAAUUACAGAUGGUAUUCUAUCGGUGAUAUGUUAUAUUUAUCGAUGGAUAUACCGAUGCACAAAUAAAAACACUGAUGACAUUGCAUACAGUAUUCCUGUUUGUGAUAUGUUAAAUUUACCAAUGGAGAUACUGACGGAAUAAAACAGAUAAUUUUUUUUUGGCGUGCUUUGUUUGUCUAUAAAUUCAUUGGUAUAUUUAUUACCGAUGGACUCACCAACAAACCAUAAAUUAUUGGCGAGAGUUUUUUCGAUGGACUGUCUCCAUCCGUGAGCCCGUUGACAAUAUACAUACCAAUGGACUGUGAGUGUGAAUACUGACAAAAAUUUCUGUUAGUAAAAUUGUUAAAUCUAGUAGUGAUUGCAUGAUCCACCGCUAGAAGUGAUGAGUACAAGUUAUGACCAUUUUAAGUUGUUGUUUCUGGUCUGACAUGACUAGACCUUCUCUUGGACCUAGACUUGUCCUACUAGUCUAUAAAUAUAUAUGUUAGAACAUCCAUAUAAUCUGUCUAGAGCAGAUACUCAUCUAAUUGUGGCAGACCCACAUAUGAUAGCUCAGAAUCACCUGUUAUUGCAAGCCCAACUACAUCAUUAAUGGUUUCUCAAGGUAAGUCAUGAGGAAUUUGAAGCAUAUAAAAUGAUAUAACUUGUCCCAAUAUCAUAAAAAUGUUAAAAAAAUGUGAGUAUAUGAACCCAUGAAGCGGGAUCAGAAUCUAUUUUCCUAUUGUUAUUAACAAAACGGAAAGCCAUAACUAACUGUUUGUACUAUAAUAUUGGGAGUGAGAGGUACAAUGUCCAGAAUGCUUCUAAGGAUAACCAUAUGUCCAUAUCCAUAAGAUCUCAAUCGAUUGCCCCUUACUACAGAAUCUAGCACAUCCUUAAGUAAAUAAAGAAAGCUAGAAUAAAGUGCCUUCACUGAUUAUUUAGCAUUACUGAGCAGGCCAAGUCUUCACUGCUUAUUUCCUAAUAAUUCCUUAUUGUGGAAUUGCACUUACAAAUAAAGAACUUGUUAUUGAUAUUUUCGUACAGAAUUUCUCUCUCGAUUAGUCGGUCAAUAAUGUAACUUCGUUUAUUCGGAUUUGAGGCCGGCCAUGAGAUGGAGAGGUUGUGUCACAUUAAUUAUGUCAUGUUAUAUGGAAUCAGAUUCACCAUUAUUAAACUAAAGCGUCUCAUCGAUUCUACGAAACUUGUCGAAAGGAAUCAUUUGUUCAAUAAUUGAAUGCGAUUUUUAUCGGGUUCACCUGACGAUCCAACCUCCAUCCACAAAUCCGGAUCGAAUUCCGAAUGGGUCAAAAUAUCGUCCCCGUAUCUCUCCCUCAACCGAUUAUUAUAGGUCUCCUGAAAAUAAAAAAAGUAAUCAUCAUAUUCAAUUCAAUAAACAUAAUAACUUACAAAAUAAAAUGGUUGAACAAACAUACCAUGAAAUGUUGAGCACGGUUAUCAACGAACUGUUGCGCCCCCUUUUGGCGGUCUUGACUCCGCACGUGCGUCUCCACAAACAGCUCCAUCGGGCUUGGCUCACGUCCAAGAGACGUAGCCUAUAAUGAAAAAAGAUUUAUUAACAACUUAAUUUAACGAUAUAUUUCAUUUAAAUUAAUCUUACCAUCCGUUUCGCAUGUGUAGCAAACGGAACGGAGCCGCCAGUGUGCGUUGUUACUGAGCCAUGAAUUGGCCGAUUCCGGUUGCCAACACCGGACUGUGAGCGUCGUGUAAACCGCUCAGACAUCACGUGCUCAAGAUAGUGCGGCCAUAUAUCUUUUGGGAUGUAUAUCGGUUUGAAAUUCCUCCAAACCGUAACAUCGUUCCAGCCUUGGAAACCCCUAUCUCUAGCGGUUUUUUUUGCCCUUUUUUGUGCUUCAUACCAAAAAUCACGCAACCAAAAAUUACAUUUCGAAAGAUAAAUUUUUGUCUAAAAAACAUCUUGUAUUGUUUUCGAUGUUACCUAGUUGCCGCGUGAUUUUCCCACACCCUCCUCGCAACAGUGUUAUGCUCACUGUCCCAGCAGAAUUUGUCCUGUGUAUAAAUAAUUAAUUUUAAAUAAAAAUAAUAAUUUAUUUACAAUUAUAUUAAUAAUUUAUUAGAAAUAAGCUGAAAAUUAUAAAUUAACACCAACCUCAAAUUUGUCAAACCAUGCAUUGAUUUGAGGCAUCCAUUCAGGAUGCUUGGAUAUCUGACUCCAUUGAAACAAUGGAAUCUUCAUCGACGAUUUAAACGCCGAUGAUAUUACUCGGGCAGCCUCAAUGUUUGUGAACCUGAAAAUAAAUGAAAUAAAUUCAAUAGUGAUUACUUCAUAAGUUAUGUUGUAAUUUUUUUUAAAAAAAAAAACUAAAACCUUAACAAACUUACAUUGAAAGGUCGUCCUUCCACUGUGCCUCGUACUUGCGGGUAAAUUGAUUCCGCUGCGAAGGCACGCCGCCUCUGCCCUGUGAAGUAGCGCUGGAAGAGGCAGCAUUGGUUGACGACGCAGGUGGUGUAGGUGCCUCUUCUUGAGAGGCACCUAAGGAAAUAUCAUCCUCGCUGCUAGACGAACUAGUUGCGACCAUACGUGAGCGACCAGCUUUGGUUUUCAUUCUACGCACCUACACAAUUUUAUACAAAUAAUUAUAUAAUUAAAUUCAAAUGUUAAAAAAAAAUUCGACAGCAUCUCCCCUAUACUGGAUACUACCCAAAUCUACAAACCUGCACAUAUUAACAAUAGCCACAACCAAUUGACCCAAUCUAUACUAACUAUUCCAACAUAUUCAAUUACUAAUCCUAAGGUAAUUCAACAUUAAGAAUUACAAUUCAACAAAUUAUUCAAUAAUUAUGCCAAUACAACAAUAAAAUAUAUUCAAUAAAUAAAUAAAAACUCUAGACUAACAAUUAAAAUUAAUGGAAAAAAUUAAACAUAAAUCAUGCAAUAAUAGAGUAAAAUUAACAAUUAUUUCAAAAUAUUCAAUUACUAAUACUAAGGUAAAUUCAACAUUAACAAUUACAAUUCAAAAAAUUAUUCAAUAAUUAUGCCAAUACAACAAAACAAUAAAUUCAAAAAAAACUCUAGACUAACAAUCAAAAUAAAUGGAAAAACUUAAACACAAAUUAACUAAUAAUAAUUAUGCCAACACAACAAUAAAAAAUAUUCAAAAAAUUCAAAAAAAAAACUAUAGACUUUAGGAAUCAAAUAUGCUUACUUUAAUAAUGUGUUGAAUUCAAUACUUUAUCUACAUUACAAAAAAUACACCAAAACAAAAAACAUAACAAAAAAAAAUAGCAAAAAAAAAACCCCUAAAGUAAAAUGAAAUAGAAGACACACAUACCUUUUAAACUGAUGAAGAUUCACAAGAAAACUUGCUAGAGAUGGUAGGUGAAAGCUUUGAAGAAUGGAGAGGAAAAAAAUCGAAAUUUAAGGUGAAAAACGGAGGAGAAGAAAAAAUGAACUGAAGGGGCGGUCGCUGGAACUUAUAUGGCAGUUUUACCGACGGAUUCACCGAGGGAUAUAAAAUUAAUUAUUAUUUUAAUUUAUUCUGUCAGUGAAGUGUCAAAAAUCCGUCGGUAAUUUUUAAAUUUCGCACCAAAAUUUUUAAUGACCCUCCAUAUUUUUCGUGGUCUGUCGGUAAUUUCGUCGGCAAGAUGACGCGGUCAGAGAUGCAUUUAAUGCACAAUCUUUUGGAAUUCGCACAGUCCGUCGGCAAUUUUGUCGGUAAAAUUGACCUGCCGACAACUUACCGACGGACUUAUAUCCGUCGGUAUUGUCGUCAGUGAUUGUGGCAUUUCAAGUAAUUAUUUUCGAACUCUCUGUGAAAUGCCGACGGACUUAUUCUGUUAGUAUGGACGUCGGUGAUUGUGGCAUUUCAAGUAAUUAUUUCAAGUAAUAAAUAUUUCAUGUUACAAAAUAUAUCAUUCAUAAUCUAAAUUACAUGAAAAAAGGGGUUUUACACAGGGCUUCAUUUUGAUAGUUAGUCAGAAUUUUCUUCUUCUUUGUCCUCAAUUGAAUAGUCAUCACCUUUAUCGCAAUCUUCAAUAUGGAUAUCAUCUUCUUCAUCGACAUUUGCUUGUCCGCUAGAGCUCAAAACAGCAUUCAACUCCUCUACGUGAACAUCAACAAGACUAUCAUCGAAAACAUGAAAAUUUGAAUUUUCUUCCAAUUCAAUCGAAUGAGCAACUCAAUAUGGUUCAACCACCUCACUAACUUGAAAGACUUCAUCUCGCACACUUGUGUCUUCGUUCUCAUCCUGAACAACCUCGACACGACCCCGGGGUUUUGUUUUUAAAACGGACAACCAAUCCACUCUUGAUCGAUCCUUUCUAAAUGAAGGGGUGUAUGUGUAAUAAACUUGUUGACAUUGCUUUGCGAAAACAAAGACAUCGUUUUUGUUGCGGAGUCUAGCUUUUGAGUUGAUUUCGACCAGACCAUAGUGCGGAUCAACUCUGAUUCCUCUGUCAGUCGUGUCAUACCAAUAACAUUUGAAUAAAAACACUUUAUUCUACUCGUUAUGAUAUUGCAGUUCGACGACCUCUUCUAAUCUACCAUAGUAGUCAACUUCUAACUCACUACUAGUGGAUCCCUUAACACAAACACCGCUGUUGUAUGUCUUUCUUCCUUGCCCGUAUUCUUCAGUAUGGAAAACAUAUCCAUUGACAAAAUACCCGUUGUAGCACUUACAUUUUCUUUCAGGCCCCAGGCUUAGUGAAGACAAUGACUUAGGCGCACUCCUUCCCAUUUGAUAAACCUUGUAUGUAAUGUACAUCAAUAAAUAGUAAAUGAACGAGAAUCUCAUAAUGACAUGCAUACGUACAGUAAUUUUGCAAGUUAGAAUGAGUUUGUGAUAGUGCUUACAUGUGUUCUAGACCACGUGACAAAGUGUUCAUCUUGUAAUUGAAAGAUCUGGGAUUCGGUCAGCUAUGAGUUAUUGGAGAGCAAAUAUUGUCGAUGUUGCCUGCAAGUGAUAAUGAGUGUAUGAUAUUAUAAUAAAUAAUUAAUAGUAUAUUACUAACAAAGUUUAAUUACUAUACACAUAUAUAUAUAUAAACCUUACUGAAUAAAAGGUCUCAGCUCAUCACAGUUAAAUAUAACAUAUUUGUGUGCUUAUUUGAACUCUAUUUCCGACAAAUAUCUUCCUCUUACGCCAUUUUUAGGUGUGGGUCGUCCAGUGUUAGAGAAUAUUGACAAGUUUCCACUGGAAGGCACUUCACCGCCAUCAUCAUACCGUGGAACGCGAUUGAUUCUCAUUCUUAGAUGAGGUUCGAAAUAGUACGAUAUAAAUGUUGAGAUCUCCUCAACAAUAUAGGCCUCACAUAUCGAAGCCUCAACGUGCGCCUUGUUCUUAACCUUUUUCUUGAGAUUAAACAAGUACCUGCAUUGAAUUAAUCAAGUAUUUUCAAUUAAGAAAAACAUAGAAAAUACUUUUAUAUAUGAAUUACAUUGCAACUGUAAUAUCUAACAGUUCGAAUGGGUACAUCCAUCUAUAUUGGACCGGUCCUCCAGCUUUUGCCUAGAACGGUAGAUGUAUAGGGAGAUGCUCCAUUGAGUCAAAAAAUGAUGGAGGGAAUAUCAUCUCAAGUUUGCAUAGUGUCUCAACGAUAUUCGUUUGAAGCCUCUCAAUGUGCUCAACAUUCAACUUGCUGGAGCAUAUAUCUCUGAAGAAAUGACUGAUCUCCGUAAGUGCAUCUCAUAUUCCCUUUGGCAACAAAUCACGAAAAGCUAAUGGGAUGAGUGUUUGCAUAAACACGUGGCAGUCAUGACUCUUCAUUCCAUACAAUCUGCAGUCCUCUAUAUUAACCAGCCUUGAUAUGUUUGAUGCAUGUCCAUCUAGAAAACGUAGACUCUUAAGCCAUUUAUAGACUAGCAGUUGUGCGUUUUUCUCUAACACGAAGCUUGCUCUUGGUUUUGCGACCUGUGACUCAUCAUAAAACAACUCCAUAUUUUUACGGUUACAGUAUAAAGCUAUAUCCAAUCUAGCCUUGAUGUUGUCCUUUGUCUUCCCCUUCACAUCCAUGACGGUGUUGAAAAUGUUCUCAAACACGUUCUUUUCGAUGUGCAUGACGUCAAGGUUAUUGCGGAGCAUAUUGGUCUUCCAAUAAGCAAGCUCCCAAAAGAUACUUCGCUUUACCCAAUUAUGGGUCAAACCAAAACCAGGAAACUUUUGCUUACCUGAUUGAAGGCCAAACACAAUGUCACCGUACUCUGAUACAACAUCAUGCAAUUCUUCACCAGAAAGACGCGGGGAUGCAACAUCUUUUUCAACUCUGCCAACAAAGAAAUCUUUUCUGUUCUUUCUAUACCUGUGAUUAAGUGGCAAGAAACGACGGUGACAGUAAAAAAAAGAAGCUUUACCUCCGUUUGCUAGCGUGAAUGCCUUGUUGUUUUCCAUGCAGUAUGGACAUGCGAGUUUCUCAUGCGUGCUCCAACCAGAAAGCAUUCUAUAAGCUGGAAAAUCAUUGAUAGUCCACAUCAAAGCAGCCCUCAUAAGGAAAUUUUGUUUCCUCGAUAUAUCAUAAGUCAGAGCUCUGGAGGACCACAACUGCGCCAACUCAUCAAUCAACGAUCGAAGACAAACAUCUAUAUUCCGCCCUGGGCUGCUUGGACCGGGUAUGACAGUAGAUAAAAACAUGAACUCCGGCCUCAUACACAUUCCCGGUGGCAAGUUAUAAACUGUGAGUAUGACCGGCCAACAAGAAUAAGGAGCAGCAAAUGACCCAAAUGGGUUGAAUCCGUCUGUACACAACCGAAGACGCACAUUCCUUGAUUCAGCUGAAAAGUGAGGAUGAAGACUGUUAAAGCAUUUCCAUGCUUCGCCAUCAGAAGGAUGCACCAUCACUCUAUCAACCGCAUUAUGUGCUUGGUGCCAUGUCAUGUGCUCAGCAGUCCUUGGUGACAUGAAUAACCUCUACAGUCUAGGUGUGAUCGGGAAGUAUCUAAGUUUUUUAUAUGCCACUAGAGUCUUUCCCCUGCCAGUUCUCGGUUUGUAACGGGAAUGCCCGCAUGUCAUGCACUCUGUCCUCUCAGCAUUUUCAAGGUAGUAUAACAUGCAGAAGUUAGGGCACAUGUCAAUUUUCUGGUAUCCUAAACCGAGGGGUUUCAUCAUGGACUUCGCAGCAUAGAAGUUCUCUUUCAGCCUGUCCCCUUCAAGUAAAAUUCUUCUCACCCAUUCAAUAAUGUUGUCAUACCCGACCUCACUCAACCCGUGAUCUGACUUGAUGGUGAACACCUGUGCUAGGGCCGAUAAUUUACUGUGGUUCGUGCAGCCAUCCCAUAAUGGUUCAUCAGAAUCUUUCAACAAAUCAAAAAACCUAGCUGCAUCUGCAUUAGGUUCUUCUUCUACGAUUCGACAUUGACUGACAUUACCUUGAUUCAUUCUCAUUGCAUCCAUAACUAUAUUUAUGUAAGGAUUAGUGUUGUCAUUUGCCGCUUCAUGCACGUUGCUAGCACUAGAAGUAGACCCAACCACCGUUUCUCCCAUUCUCCUCUUACUAACAAAUACUUCUCCAUGUGCAUACCAACACUGGUAAUUCUCCAUAAACCCUUUGUGUAGAAGAUGCAUCAUUACAACAUCUGGAUGCAGAUAUUUUUUAUUUUGACACUUCCUGCAUGGACACCUAAUACCGCCUCUAGUAAAAUUUAUCGGAAUAGAUGUUGCGAAAUUAAUAAAACCUUGAACCCCGUUACAAUAAUCAAUCCUCCGCAAUCCUUGGGGUGAAUCUCAAUACAUCCAUGAACGAUCAUCCAUGACUUAUAUCGAACCUCUAUAAAAUUAUGAUGACAUCAUGUAUUAAUUAACUAAGUUAGGUAAAUAAACUUGUAAAAAUAUUACUUUACCUCGAGAUUAUCCAACAAACCAAUCACAACUUCUCAUAAAUAUUAAAUAUUCAUUAUCAUUUAUCAACGUCCAUACAAAUUAAUAUAUAUAAAUUUACAGAAAUUACCACUCUGCAAUACCAUUAAUAAAACUUUAAACAGACCCAUUAAGCAAGCUAUUAAUUAUUUCAAAACAACACAUGUAAUUCAGUAAUUCCAUAAAGUUUUAACAAUUUACAAACAAAUACAAUCUUACAAAAUCUAAAACAAACCAUAACAGGUAUAGAAUUAUACAUUCAUAUACUACAAGUUUGUUUGAGAAAUAACAAUAAAACAUGUACAUCUACUAACAAAAUACAUAUACUAAAAAAACAAUAAAAUUGACAUUUAAAUGUUAAAAUUUAAAAAGAUAGAAUUACUUACAAAAAUUGAUAAAAUCCGUCGGUAAAUCAGAAUAUGGAUGUUGUGACCACAAAACUUUCAAGAAAUAUAACUUGUUGUGCUGAGAUGAGGGAGAUUUUUGUUUGGGGGGGGGAGGGGGGCUGGUUGUUUGCAGAUGGGGAGAGUUGGGAUUAGGAAGAAGAAGGAGAAAUAGGGGAGGAGAGGGUCGGUAGAGAGGGCAUUUAUUAACUUUUUCCGACGGUUUCACCGAUGAAAUUAUCAAUUGAUGAGUCCGCCAGCUAUUCUGACGGAAAAAUCGACACGUCACCGUAUGGAUCUUCCAUUUCGAAUCCCUCGGUGAUUCCGUCGGUAUUUCAAGCAGUGAACCGGUCACGUCACCGUACGGAUCUGCCAUUUCGAAUCCCUCGGUGAUUUCGUCAGCAUUUUAAACGGCGAACCGGUCACGUCACUGUGUGGGGUUGUCGUUUUGAAUCCGUCGGUAAAAAUAACCCCGCCAAAACCUCUACGUUUGCGACCCGCCUUUUUUUUUAAAUUCAAAACGUUUUCCGUCCGUAAUUCAGUCGGUAACUACCGACGGACACUUGUUGUCGGUAGUUACCGACUGAAUUACGGACGGAAAGGUUUUUGUCGGUAAUUUCGACCUCAAAUUACUGACAGAAAUAUUCCGUCGGUAAAUCCGUUGCUAUUGAGUGAAUUUCUAGUUGUGAAAGGGGCGCAUACGUACCACCCAUCUGUGAUCUCAAUCCAUGGCCAUUCUACGGGUUCAUCAUAAUCCGCAUAGAGUCGUUCAUAUUCUUCAAUGAGAUGGGUCGUAUGUUGUUCCAAGGUCGCGAACUCCUGAGACUGGGUGGUCAAUAUCGAUUGCAAGCUCCCAACGGUUGAGACACUACGGGCCACCUACAAGUUGGUCGUGGAGUUGGAGAGUUUGUACACCUGAUUUCUAUCGGGUCCACCAGAUGAUCCUGCCUCCAUCCACAAAUCCAGAUCGAAAUCCAAGUGGGUCGAAGGAUCGUUCCCGUAUCUCUCCCUCAAUCGGCUGUUAUAUGUCUCCUGAAAAUAAAAAAACUGAAAUCAUCAAAUUUAAUUCAAGUAAAUAAUAAUUUACAAAAGAAAAUGGUUGAACGAACAUACCAUAAAGUGUUGAGCGUAGUAGUCAACGAACUGUUGCACCUCUUUUUGGCAGUCUUCACUCUACACGUGCGUCUCCACAAAAAGCUCCAUUGGGCUUGGCUCACGUCCAAGAGCUGUAGUCUGUAAGAAAAAAAUGUUGCAAGUAAAAUAAAUUUAUAAAUAACAACAAAUUAAUUAAAGAUAAAUGUGAUUAAAAUUAAUUUUUUUGUUAUUUUUUAGGCUUUGUUUGGAAAAACAAAACCUAAUUUUUUUGUAAUAAAACUGUCGAAACAAGCAUAAUGGGGUGUUUGCCAAACACACCCUUAAACCAAAAAACCCUUUUAGCAAAAAUAUUGCAAGCUAAACAGGGUCUUAACCCUUUGACCCAUUCUUGACCCAUCUGGGUUGACCUGAUCGAGUUGACCUGACUGGGAUGACCCAAAAUCUUUGGUUUCAACCAUAAAUCGAACCAAAGAUCCUGGUUUGACCCGAAAACAACUCAAAAAGAAAACAAAAGCCAAAAAACAGAUUAAACACCAAAAAACAUGAAAAAACUCGAAAAUAACAAAUCAAAUGCAAAAAAAAAUGAAGAACACGAAUAACAUGAAAAACAUUAAAACUCAAAUUCUAGCAACAUGAAUUCUAAUCUAGACCAUAUUUCAGGAAAUAAAAAGCACAUAAAGGAUGGAAAUCAAUCAUUGAACAAUAAUUAAGCAUCAAGCAUCGAUGAUUAUCAACCAAUAAUCAUGAUUGAGUCAAAAUAGGUUUUGGUUCAAAACCAAAAUCCUAUGAUUAAAACCCCCAUAAAACUUGUUAUUGAUACAAAUGAACUCUAGACUACUAAUUAAUCAAGUCCAAUGAAGUGUUUAAUGCAAUGGACCAAAACUGGUCCAAAACAUAGAUAUAAGCCAAUGUUUUUCCCAAGAACAUAGAACACUGCCUUAGAAAACCCGGCUAUUGUCAAGCCACCAAAACUGGCAUUUUCGACCACUAAAACAUGCUUUCUUCGUUUCAAAAAGUCACACUACCAUAACCAAACAUGUUUGAAUAAAAAAACUAACAAAUAACAUUAAAAUCAUGCAAGAGGUUCCAAACUUCAAAACUACAAACUUAAAAUAGCCUAUAUAUUUAUGCAAUUUGGAUUCAAUUUUUUUUCCUAAACCUUCAAUAAGACCCAACCAAAACCUAGAAACUAAGAACAUGCAUCAGCCAACAUAAAAAAACAUCAUAACCUUGCUACCACAUCUAGUAGAUUUCAAAAGUACUUUAUUUCAUCAAAACUCAUCCAACAAACAUCACCUAAGUAUUCAGAGACAUUAACAAACAACUCAAAUCAAGAUUUAAACAAUAAAACAACUUUUUUAUGUAUUAAUCAAAAUCAAAACUAAAGAACAUCAUAACAGUAAAGCAAGUUUGAAAACAUCAUUAAACAUGUAAAACAAGUGACUCGACUAACUCGGAAGGAAGUUAAGUUUGAAUGGUCAAAAGAGUGUGAAACAAGUUUUCAAGAGUUAAAAUCCAGGCUAACUUCAACCCAGUAUUGGCUUUACCAAAAGGACAUGAGGGAUUUGUUAUGUAUAGGGAUGCUUCCAAUAAGGGUUUGAGUUGUGUAUUUAUGCAGCACGGAAGGGUAAUUGCUUAUGCAUCUAGAUAGUUGAAACCACAUGAGAUAAACUAUCAUGUACAUGAUUUGGAGCUGGCAGCUGUGGUGUUUGCUUUGAGGAUAUGGAGACAUUAUUUGUACGCGAUAUAGGAGAUGGAUGGAGCUAAUCAAAGAUUAUUACAGAUCACAAAAGUUUAAAAUAUUUGAUGUCAUAAAAAGAAUUGAAUAUGUGAUAUAGGAGAUGGAUGGAGCUAAUCAAAGAUUAUAAUUGUAUUAUUGACUAUCACCCGGGGAAAGCAAAUGUGGUGGUAGAUGCUCUAAGUCGGAAGAAUAAAGCUUUUAUUAGUGGUUUACUAGUGCUAAGUGAGCUAAAUGUGCAUUUGGAUGUGACUUCAGGAGGAAUAUUACUGGCAACAUUAGUGCUAUAAUCAGAUAUGAGAGAAAAGAUUCGAAAAGCUCAAGGUGAAGAUCCUGAAGUGAUAAAAGAAAUGAACAAUGUAAAAGUAGGCCAAGACUCUUUAUUUCGAGUGUCAAAAGAUGGGCUAGUUAUGGGAAACAUAAUAUAUUUACCUGAUGAUAAGGUUUUAAAAAGUGAAGUCUUAAAAGAAGCUCAUGAGUCUAAAUUGACGAUCCAUCUAGGGAGCACGAAAAUGUAUAGAGAUUUGAAGGAGAGUUACUGGUGGCCAAAAAUGAAAAGGGAGAUAACAUAAUACGUGGCCAAAUGUGCCAUAUAUCUACAGGUGAAUGUAGAGCAUCAAUGGCCGAUUGGAGAAUUACAAUCUCUUUCGAUUCCAGAAUGGAAAUGGGAGAAUAUCACUAUGAAUUUUGUAUCUAGCUGGUAAGGACUUGAUGCCAUAUGGGUGAUCGUGGAUAGACUGACAAAGUCUUCUUUGUUUUUGCCUAUGAAGAUAGGGGAUUCGGUUGAAUAACUAGCUCAAUUAUAUAUUAAAGAGGUGGUGAGAUUGCAUGGUGUACCAGUUUCUAUAGUUUUUGAUAGGGAUCCUUGGUUUACAUCAAGGUUAUGGCCGAGUAUACAAUGGGCUUUGGGUACCAUAUUGAAUUUAAGAAUGACUUUUCAUCCACAGACUGAUGGGCAAUCUGAAAAGACAAUUUAGAUUUUGGAAGAUUUGUUAUAGCUUGUAUUCUAGAGUUUGGAGGUCAAUGGGAGGAUCAUUUGCCAUUAGUAGAAUUUACUUAUAAUAAUAGUUAUCAAUCUACUAUUGGCAUGAAACCAUAUGAAGCAUUGUAUGAAAGGUGAUGUCGAACUACAGUACGUUGGGAUGAAGUUCGGGAAAGAAAAUUAUUGGGAUCUGAACUGGUGCAGAUCAUGGUUGAUAAGGUGAAGGGGAUAAAGUAAAGGAUGAAAGAAGCUCAAGACCGGUAAAAGAGUUGUGCUGAUAAUUGACGGAGACCUCUAGAGUUUCAAAUUGGAGAUAUGGUAUUUUUAAAAGUUGCACCAUGGAAGCAUGUGAUUCGGUUUGGAAUGAAAGGCAAAUUAGCACCCAGGUAUAUCGGGCCAUAUAAAAUUAUAGAAAGAAUUGGGAUGGUUGCCUAUCGAAUAAUCCAAUCCUUAGAUUGAGCUGAAAUUUUACGAGGGACUUUAAAAUAUAUUGAAUAAAAUUUGGUUAAAAUUUUAGGAUGAACAGAGCUCGGUGUUGCUUAAAAAAAAUUAGGACCUUCAAAUAGAAGCAAAAUGACUCAUUAAGGGUAAAAUGAUUAUUUGCCAUUAAAAAUAAAACAAAUCAGCUCUCCUUUCCUUUUAUAUGCUGCCGACUGGGCAGAAGCAGAGUGGGAAAAGAAGAAAAGAAAAAAAGCGAGUGAGAAAGAGAGAAAAGUAAGGAAAAAAUAAGAAAAGUGAGAGAAUAAUCUUGUAAACUUACAAAGUCCAACUUAUAAAACACUAAUCUAAGGAAGAAUCAAGUGAAGGAAGGAGGAUUUGAGAGAGAGAAUUUGGCUAACCUUGGGAGAGAAGAGAAAUUGGAAGAAAGUCAAUUAGUAAGUAUGAGAAGUUUGGAUUUAAUGUUUGAUUUAGAUGUUUUUAAGCUAACUCGAUUAAGUUAGGAAGUAAUUUCAUGGAAUUUUACUUUAAUUUCCCUUAAAUCCUUGAUUCUUGAACUUAGGAUUCUUAUGGGAAUUUGGGGGAAUUAGAAAGGGAAGGAAAAAUGAUGAAGUAAGUGGAAUAGCAUGAAAACAAGUUGAAAUAACAAGUAAAUGAAGAAAAAUUUGGGGGAGGAAAAAGAAGAUGACAUUUGGCCAAAUGAAGGAAAAGUGGAGGAAUGAGUUUUGAUGUUAAUGUUUAGGAAACUAUGUUUAAUCAUGAUAUUUGAAAUAUACAAGAAAGACUAAAUGAAGAAAUAACAUUAAAGUUGAGAAAAAUAAGUAAAUUCAAUUUAAAAGAGAAUUGAACUAGUUAAAAAGAAAGUAUGAAGACAAGAUGUUUAGAUUGUGUUUGAAUAUAGUUCUUACAUAUGUUUAGAUAAAAUAAAUAAUAUGAUGUGAAGGCAUAAAGAAUAGAAGGAUUAUUUGAUGGAAGAAUUAUGAACAUAAAGUAAGAAAAGAAGUCAAAAAGGUCAUUCUCAGUCUUCACACUUCAUGCACAAGGAAAUAAUAUGUUUAAUUCGUCAAUCGACUCAUAGCCAACACUGUAACAAAUGUUUGGGAUGAAGGGAAAAGUAUAGAUUUUUCUCAUUAGAGAAAGAAACUGCAUAAAAUGUGAAUGCUGUAAUUAUUUUCAAAGAACUUAACCAUAAAUCCACCCUUCUUGCAAGGAACAAAGCCUUCUUCCCUAUAUUUUCAAAGAAUGCUAUAAUUAUUAUGGUGAAUCAUGCAAGCAUAUCCCACUACCAGAAAAUUGAUAAAUACAAACGGAAAUACCGAGGGAAUAUUUCCGUCGGUAAAUUUCCGAGGGAUUUUACCGACGGAAAUAUUCCCUCGGUAUAUACCGAGGGAAUUACCGUGGGAAAAAAAAUUAAAACAAAGCAAAAAAAAAAUGAUGACGUGUCAUUUUUACCAACGGAAUUACCAACAGAAUUACCGACGGAAUAAAUUCCGUCGGUGAUUCCGUUGGAAAAUUUGUUGGUAAAUUGUGAACACUGUUCAUCAUGUUAAUUACAAAGGGAAUCACCGACGGAAUAUUCCGUCGGUAUUUUCCAGAGGGAAAAGUCGUCGGUGUUAUUUGGCGGUUUUCUGAAAAAAUUCAAUUAAUUUAAAAUUUUCAUUUAAAUAUUACAGACGGAAUCACCGACGGAUUGAAAAAUCAUCGGUAAUUUUUUGGCGGUUUCUGAAAAAAUUUUACGAAAUUGAAAAUUUAAAUUAAAUAUUACCGAUGGAAUUACCGACGGAAUAAUUAAAAAAUAUUAAUAUUUAAUUAUCCGUCGGUAAAUCCGUCGGUAAAGCGUCCCAAUAAAAAGCCUGAAUGCCCUUAUUUCACAAGAGACAGACCCGUUUCUUAUUAUUAUUCUUCUUCUUGUUCUUCUACUUCUUCUUCUUCUUCUUCUUCUUCUUCACUAUAUGUAAAAAACAUCAUUAAGGUAUGUCUUCUUCUUCUUCUUCACUUUAUGUAAAAAACAUCAUUUCUUAUCUAUUUCUUUCUCUUCUUUUCUCUCCUCAUCUCCUUCUCUUUUCCUCCAUGCUUGGAUAUGUCUUUUUCUUCUUUCUUCUUUUAUCCUCUUAGUUUUUUUUUAAUUAAUAUGCUUAAUGAAAUUUUUUUUCUCUCCUUAGCUUCACUUGCAACUACAUUAAGGUAAGAUUUUUCUUUUUUCUUCUUUUUUCAUGAUUUGUUUCACUAUAUUUGUUCUUUAUUUUAUUUUUAAUUGUUUUUGUUCUUAAUAAUUGUAUAAAUGUUGUUGUGAGAUGUUUUUUUCAUAUGAGAUCAAUUUUUAGUAGAUUUAUUUAUAGGAUUUUUAAAUUUUUAGCAAUUGCAACUUCAUUUUUUUCAUAUGAAUUUUUUUAGUUGAAUUUAUUUUUUUAUUUUAUUUAUUUGUUGCAAAUUUGUUUGAAUUGAUUUUCUUAUUCUUUUUUCCAAGCAUUUUGAGUAUAUAUUAUACAGUGUUAAUUUAUGUCAAUUUAAUUAUUUUAUAAUUUUAUAAAAUGAAUUUUUUUAAAAUGUUUUUCAAUAAUUACCGACGGAAUUACCGACGGAAGUUCCGUCGGUAAUUCCGUCGGUACAUCCCUCGGUAAUUCUGUUGGUAAUAAAAAAAUUAUUACCGACGCGUCUGUUCCGUCAGUAAAUCCAUCGGUAAUUCUAUUACCAACAGAUUUACCGACGAACGAUUCACCGACGAAUCAUUUCCGUCUUUGAUUCCGUCGGUAAUAUAAUUACCGAUGAAAUAUGUGUCUUACACCGACGGAAAAAUUCCGUCGGUAAAACUGUUAAAUCUUGUAGUGUCCAGAAUGAUUUGAUAUUUCUUAAUUGAAUUUUGGAAAAGUCGUGAUACUUGGUAAAGCCUUUGGAUAGUUUCUCUGAGAUGUGAUGGAAUUAACAACAUAUUGAGAAUAAUAAAAAAGAAAAAGCAACUGAAUCAAUGAUCAAAAGUUGUGAAAAUUAUAUCUUUCUUUGAAGAUUUUGAUUUUGACCACAGUGAACCUAUAAGCUUAGAUAGAGAGGGCUUCUAUGAUUUCUAUAUAUACGGACUAGCUUGGCUUCAAACCAUAUGUACAAGUCAAGCUCAAACUCAGAACCUACUUAAACUGUUUCUUCUUCUUAUUUUUUAGUGUCAUUUUGCAAAUGGCUCGCCAAGCAGAUCGCCUUUACAAGAUUGGGUUAAAAGGGUUUGCACUAAUAGACGAGUGGUACGGGUGCCCUAGGAGGUCUUCAACUCCUCAAGAGCACCAUCAGCAACGAUAUGAUUAUGGUGGAAUCCAAGUUCCCAUGAUGAAAAUGGAUGUUAUCAACAACAAGGAGGCAGCUAAACAUUAUGGUGGGGUGGUGAUUAUGGAUUAUCGAAAGAAAAAAUUACUCUAUUGAGCUCUUUAGUGAUAAUGUAUUGGGCCUUGCUUUGCUUGGUUAAGUUAAUUACCAAGCAUAAUUAAGUCGUUUUUAACUUUAUUGUUUUCUUCUUCUUUUUCCUAUGUUUGUGUGUGUGUAUGCCAAUUGUUUUAGAGUCAGCUACUCCAAAACAUGAAAAAGUAUGAGUGCCUUAAAGUGAAUUGUUGCACCUCUUAUUUCUCUAUGAUUACGAUUGUUGGGUUUCUUGAAAUACAUGACAUAGUGAAAAUAGUUUUUUCAAGUCUCAUGUAUCUCAUUAAACAACAUAAACUUAUUUAAGAUUUGUGCGAAAAUUGUAUGAAGAUAGUUCUUCCUCCUAGAAUUUGAUCAACACUUGAAGGCUGCAUUCUCGUAAAUCAAGUCCUUACUUGAUUUUUCUAAAUCUAGAAUUUUAAUCUCAUGUGCUAAUUAUAUUAUAGUUUUCANNNNNNNNNNNNNNNNNNNNNNNNNNNNNNNNNNNNNNNNNNNNNNNNNNNNNNNNNNNNNNNNNNNNNNNNNNNNNNNNNNNNNNNNNNNNNNNNNNNNAAAAAUGUAUUAUUCUGUAUUUGUAAUCUUAGUUUGUUUACUUGCAAUUGUUAUGAAUUAUGUGUGUUAAUGGGAAAGAAAUGAGCAUGCGAAAUGUGAGGCAUGUACCAUGAAUGAUGUGUUGUCAAGGUUCUACAUGAUUAUGAUAUGAUUGAGAAAUGAGUAUAACUAUACAGGAUGAUUGUCGAUAACUUGGGACCUCCAGGUAUAAAGGAAACUCUGCCGAAAUUUCAGUGGAAAUUUUGGCAACUCUCGGAUAAGUUCGGUGGAUGAAAAAAAAAAAUACCCAUUUUUUUAAAAGUUAAGGCUCAAAGUACUUUGAUGAAUGUACUAAAUUACAGGGUGUUACAAUUUCUGUAUCGGAUUCUUCAAGGAUAGUUUAAAUGUCUCAAAAGUUUAAAAUUUAAAAUAAAUUUAAAAAAAAUAAUUAGGAUUGCUGUUUUGGAUUUUUCAAGGAUAGUUAAAAGUCUUAAAAUUAUAACAUUCAAAAGAAUUUAAACAAAGGAAUUAGGAUUUCUGUUUUGGAUUCUUCAAGGAUAGUUUAAANNNNNNNNNNNNNNNNNNNNNNNNNNNNNNNNNNNNNNNNNNNNNNNNNNNNNNNNNNNNNNNNNNNNNNNNNNNNNNNNNNNNNNNNNNNNNNNNNNNNUCGCCGCGUCGCCGCGCACCCCGCUAUAAUUAUUAUGGUGAAUCAUGCAUGCAUAUCCAGAAUGAUUUGAUAUUUCUUAAUUGAAUUUUGGAAAAGUCGUGAUACUUGGUAAAGCCUUUGGAUAGUUUCUCUGAGAUGUGAUGGAAUUAACAACAUAUUGAGAAUAAUAAAAAAGAAAAAGCAACGGAAUCAAUGAUCAAAAGUUGUGAAAAUUAUAUCUUUCUUUGAAGAUUUUGAUUUUGACCACAGUGAACCUAUAAGCUUAGAUAGAGAGGGCUUCUAUGAUUUCUAUAUAUACGGACUAGCUUGGCUUCAAACCAUAUGUACAAGUCAAGCUCAAACUCAGAACCUACUUAAACUGUUUCUUCUUCUUAUUUUUUAGUGUCAUUUUGCAAAUGGCUCGCCAAGCAGAUCGCCUUUACAAGAUUGGGUUGGAAGGGUUUGCACUAAUAGACGAGUGGUACGGGUACCCUAGGAGGUCUUCAACUCCUCAAGAGCACCAUCAGCAACGAUAUGAUUAUGGUGGAAUCCAAGUUCCCAUGAUGAAAAUGGAUGUUAUCAACAACAAGGAGGCAGCUAAACAUUAUGGUGGGGUGGUGAUUAUGGAUUAUCGAAAGAAAAAAUUACUCUAUUGAGCUCUUUAGUGAUAAUGUAUUGGGCCUUGCUUUGCUUGGUUAAGUUAAUUACCAAGCAUAAUUAAGUCAUUUUUAACUUUAUUGUUUUCUUCUUUUUUUUCCUAUGUUUGUGUGUGUAUGCCAAUUGUUUUAGAGUCAGCUACUCCAAAACAUGAAAAAGUACGAGUGCCUUAAAGUGAUUUGCUGCACCUCUUAUUUCUCUAUGAUUACGUUCUUGGGUUUCUUGAAAUACAUGACAUAGUGAAAAUAGUUUUUUCAAGUCUCAUGGAUCUCAUUAAACAACAUAAACUUAUUUAGGAUUUGUGCGAAAAUUGUAUGAAGAUAGUUCUUCCUCCUAGAAUUUGAUCAACACUUGAAGGCUGCAUUUUCGUAAAUCAAGUCCUUACUUGAUUUUUCUAAAUCUAGAAUUUUAAUCUCAUGUGCUAAUUAUAUUAUAGUUUUCAAUUUCUAAAACUUAUUUACAAUCAAUUUGUUAUUAUCUACUUUUGACUCCACAAAAAAUCAAGAAAAGAAAGAGAAAAUAGAAAGAGAAAAUCCAAAAUACAAGAAGAUAUACAUGAAAAAAAAACAUAAAAGAUUACUUAAGUUGAUGGUGAAGGACCAAAUUACAUGUGGAAAAGUUGAAGGACCAAAAUAUACAAAACUACUAUAAUUAACAACUCAAUUCCAAUUGACAAAGGGCCCCAUUGGUGAAAAUAUUUCUAUUAGGGUAAAGAAAUACAAAUUUGGAUAGGUAAGGACUUAAUGAGAAUUUUGGAAGGCUUAAUUAAUUUUAUUGAGGACUUGAUUACUGGGAAAAUCAGUUUUUAGAGUCAAUUUGGGUGUUAAUUGAAAUAAAUUAAAGUCCAUAGACUUAAUUGGUUUUUUAGGAGGUUUAAUUGGAUGAAUCAAGGGCUUAAUUGUAAGAAUAUUGAAGUUUGGUAGGUAAUUAGGGACUUGAUUGAAGAAAUCUAAAACCAAGGACCAAACUGAAAAAAGGCGCAUGACUGUAGAGACUAAAUUUGACCAAAUUAGGGGCCAAAUUGAAGAAAAUUGAAAGUUUAAUGGUCAAUUAAGGGUCCGAGUGCACAAAUUAGAAACUAAGGACCAAGAUUAAAAUGGCGCUGAACUUUGAGGUUGAUGAUUGAGCUGGACAAGGGUGAAAUUACAUGAAAUUAAGAGUUUGAAGGACAAUUAUAGGUGCAAUUAAAACAAAUUUGAAGAAUAGGGACUAAAGUGAAAAUUUUCAAAUCCCAAAUAAAAAACCCUAAUUUCUAGGGUUUAACCUAGAUGAUGCGUCGUUCGACCAUUGUUUAGUUUUUUGUUGGCAAUUUUGGUUGAUCGAGUAGGCACCUUCAAACGAAUGAAUGUGGCGUUUCCAACCACUUCUAGGGUUGUAACCACCACCAUUUAAUUGAGAAACACCCCAUCUACAAAGAUCAACUACGACCAUCAAGCACUUAUAUCCCAUUUUCUUUAUCGAACUCAACAACAUCUUUUCCUAGUUAGCCAUUACUACAUUUUCAAAUUCUCGGAUAAUCGAGUUGUCGCCUUCAACAAGUGAAUAUGGGGCUACAGACAUCCAAAUUGAACAAGAAUGGACCAAAUCGAAAGGUGUGAUUCUCCUUUAUAAAGUUUAGGUGGUCUCCAAUAACAUUUACGUUGGAGUUGCUCUGGCGUGGCCUCAAAAUUGGUCAACUUAGUCAGUCUUGACUAAGAUACCUAUUUGUACAAAGUCAUUCAACUUUUUCGUGUGUUCACACUUAAAAAAUUUUAGAGGGUUCUUAUCAAGGGUCAUAAAUCUCAUCCAUAAUCAGAAGGUGAGGGAUGCAUGCCUUUGUCUCCAAGAAAAAAAAAACCUCCUAGGUAAUUUUGUUAGAAAACCAUUGUCCCAAAACCAUUGAAAGACAAAGGUUCUGAUUGUUAACAUUUGUCCAGAACUCUCUCAUUUUGAUCAAAGAACUAAGCUUUGAUCGAUCUAUAUUUGAAUCCAUUAAACACCCUAGCAAAACCCUAUAAAUACCCCCUGAAAAAUAAAAAUAAAAAGAGAGAGAGGAAAAACAUGGAAGAAACACACUAUGAAAAGAUCCUGGUGUGAAGGUUCAAGAGCCUAACAUAGAGGGUCUAACAAGCUUUAGAAAAAAUAUAGUGAAAGGGAAAGAGGUAAAUAAAAGAGAAGGAAAAUAGUUCAUAGCUAGCAAGCUUGGAUAAGGUAUAAAUAUGUAGAAAUUCAAGCGUGGAGUCCAUGUGGCCUUCCUUUUCAUGCUUUCUUAAUGUUUAAACCUCUUUUGAUGUUGUUUGAGCUUGUCUUGCAUUUUUUGGUUUGAUUUUGGUGCUGGAAUAAUUUGAUGUAUUUUCAGCAGAGUUUGUUUUAUUAGAUUUCAUUAUGAUAAUUUGUUUUAGUUUUGGUUAAUAAUUUGUUAUUGAGGUUUGCACUAAAGACAUGAUUCUUGGUUUUCACACUUGUUUGAUUAUGUGAUUUUAGCCUAAUAGCAUGAUGAUGAUGUAUUUGAGAUAUUUUGAUUGGUGUUUGAAUCUAUUUUGUAAUUAAACAAUGAGUUGUUUUUGUUUGUGGGUUAAAUAUUUUGGAAGCAUGUUGAUUAAUUUGAUGAUUUUAGUGCAAGUUCAUGGUUUAUACAAGUAUGUUUUGGCAUAUAGAUGUUAAAAAUAUCAAGUUUUGAAUCCAAAUAGCAUGAAUAUGCUUGUUGAUUAUCUUUAGUAGUUUUGAACUUUGGAACUUAAUGCAUGUUAUUGAUGACUUUAUUUUAUUUGUUAGUUCUUUGAAUUCAACAAUGCUUAAUAUUGAUAAUAUGGUUUGCAAGGACCAAAAGAAACAUGUUUUAGAAGCCUUAGAGGCUAGUUUUGGGUUUAAUAGUAGGUUGGGAACUUUUAGGUUGCUGGGUUUGGUUUUUUCAUGUUCUUGGAAAGAAAAUUGCCUUAGCACUAUGAUUUAGAUCAAUUUUGGUCCCUUUGUUUACACUAAACCAUUCAGGGGACUUAACUAGUAGAUAAUAUAGGGUUUAUUUGCAUUAAUAACAAGUGUAUGGGUUUUUAAUCCUAAGAUUUUGGUUUUUAACCGAAACCCAUUUUCACAAAAUCACGUUAAUUCUUUGAUAAUCGAAGUAAUGGAUGCUAGAUUAUGGAUCCUUGCAUGAUUUCAAAUAAAACCUUGCCCUUGAUUGCAUGAAAACUUGACUGGAUUAAGAUUUGUGUUUGUUGGUUUGUUGAUGAAUGCUCUUUGUGUUCUUCACGAUUUGAGUGUUUGAUCUAUUUUUCUGCAAAUUUUUUUUUAUGUUUUGUGUUAAUUUUCAACUUUGAUUUUGUUUCAGGUUAAACCUUUGUUUGAGUUUACUUUUCAGAUCAAACCUUGUUUUUUGGUUCAGUUCAUGGUUAAACUAGUGUCUUUGGGUCGACCCGUUUGGUUUUGUUUUAGGUCAAGUACUUAAGGCUUUGUUUGUUUGAACAACCUUUUGUGAAGGAUUUUUUUGGCCCAAGAGAAUGUUUGGCAAACACACACUUAAGUGCAUUUUGGUAAUUUCUAGGGAAAGAAAAGAUGGUUUUGCCAAACAUUGGCUUAUAGAAAUAAACUAGCUAUGUGACCCGCGCUCCACCGCGGGUUAAAUAAUCAAAAAAAUUUAAAAGAGCUCCUAAACAAAAUAAAAGAGAUGAUGUUUUAUCCAGGUUAUAAAAAGGUCCAAAGAUGUUGGGUCUUGGUGGCAGAAGGAUCCAAUUGGGUGUUGGGCCAUGGUGGAGGCAAGGCCCACAACUGUUGGGUCUUGGUGGGAGGACCCAACACGCAAUUGGGUCCUACACCGUCAAGACCCAACAUCCACAUGGGUCCUGCACCUGGCAGGACCUAGAAGGAUGUGGGUCCUGCACCCGGCAGGACCCAACAUGCAAUUGGGUCUUGCACUGUGCAGGACUCGAAGCUAAUUUCGGUCCUGCACCUUGCACGACCCAAAGUUAUUGUGGGUCCUGCGCUAUACUCAAUUGGGUUGGGUCCUGCAUCCUGUAGGACUUAAAGUGCAGGAUCCAACACCCAAUUGGUCCUGCACAUGUCAGGACCUAACACAUAAUAUAUAUAUAUAUAUAUAUAUAUAUAUAUAUAUAUAUAUAUAUAUAUAUAUAUAUAUAUAUAAUUCAAAACUACUGCAUAAAAAUCUAAAGACAAUAAAAUAUUGAUAUAACUUUGAAUCUCAUACACUAAUGUUAUAAAAUUAAAAUAUCUUGUAUUACCUAAAAUAAAAUCUCUUAUAUAAUACUAAAGAUUUAUAAAGUAUAUGAUGUAAAUAAAAAAUUUCUUGAGAUUUCUAUCAACUUUAAUAUGAAAAUAUUAGAGAAUAGAAUUAAAAAUUUUCAACUUUUUUCAAAGUAUUUUUAAAACUAUGAGUCAGGUGCCCUUGUCAACUCUUAGUUUUUUAGGUCUAGAAGGGAAUGUCAGAUCCAUGUUAAUAAUAAUAAUAAUUCAUUUAAUUAUAAUUAAAAUGAAGAAGAAGAAGAUACAAAAAGGAAAUUAAUACAGGUUUGUAAGCCAUGUAAAACACAAUUACUCAAGAUAUUUCAUGGUUUGCAUGCCUCUAGUUUGCGUGCGUGGUUAGGUUUCCCAUCUAUUUUAUGAAUUCACGCAAACCUAUUAUGAUAAUAUUUACAUACCAAGCACUAGAAACUAUAGAAGAAAAAAGAAAAUCUGACAAUAAGAAAAAUAUAUUGGUCUCAUAAUAUCUAUUUAGCCUUACACUUCUGGAAAAAGAUUAAUUUUCCAUCAGCACCAUGGACAUCUGGAAAUUUUUAUUUUUUGAUUUACUUUAAAUUAGUAUUUUUUUGACAUUUUUGUAUUAUUUUUAAAAGAUUGUUUCCAAAAUAUAUAUUUAGAUUGUGUCUUGAAAAUUUUUAAUUUUUUUCUUGACUUUAAAUUUUGAAGACACAAUCUCAACAUAAUUUUUUAAAAGAAAAUAUUUAAAAAAUAAUAGAAAAACAAAGAAAAAAGUAAUUUAAAGUAAAGGAAAAAAAUAAAAAUAUUUCAAGACACAAUUUCAAUAUUUUUUUUCAAACAUAGUAUUUAAAAAACAAUAGCAAAAUAUAAAAAAAAUCAAUUUGAAUUAAAGGAAAAAAUUAAAAAUUUUCAAAUUUCUUGGCUCUUGCUUCACAGUCAGACACAAUCUCAAAAAAAUAAUUUAAAAUCUUUAUUUAAAAAAUAAUAGAAAAACAUAGAAAAAAAAAUUUAAGUAAAGAAAAAAAUUAAAAAUUUUCAAGACACAAUCUCAAUGUAUAUUUUGAAAAAAAAUAUUUUCAAAAUAAUACAAAAAUAUAUAUAAAAAAUUAAUUUAAAGUAAAUUAAAAAUUUUCAAAUUUCUUGGGUCUGGCUUGUCAAAAGUUAUUUCAAAAAUUACAAAUUCAAAAAAUUAAUGUUGUUGGGUCUUUUGGUAGAGAAGGCAACGCCCCCAGCUCUUGGAUCCUAACUCUAAAGGGUUGAGGAGAACCCAAUGUCAUUGGGUCCUGGUGUUAGCAAUACCCAAUAACCCACAGUCAACCACUAUGUUGGGUCUCCCAGUAGCUCUGGGAAGACAAGGCAAAGCCUCCAUCCGUAAAUUUUGACCAAAACCAUAGCAGGGUAUGACCCCCAAGGUGUAUGGCUGCUAGGUCUGGCUGUGUAACCACACCCAAUAUCCUUAGGUAUGGUUGUGCAGCUAAACCCAACACCUUUGGAGGGUGUUAGGUCCUGCACCGUGCAUGACCAAAAUAGCUAUGAUAUAAGUAAUCCAUCCUAGGGACAUCGGCAUAGGAAGAUUGAAAAAAAAACAAAACAAAACAAUUGAUUUCCUUUGGUAAAUGGAUUGGAAAUCCAUGUUAUCACGAAUGUGAGAAUUCAAUCACCCAUACCUCUCUAUAUCUCUACACAUCGUAAAUAUAUAUAUCUUUUUCACUACAAUAUAACACCACCAUUGAAUAUUAAUGCAAGACCAUUGAUCAAUAAGGAUGACUGGCUUCCAGACCCAAUAACCAUACCCAAUUAAAUUUCUUUGUCGUUGUCUUCUCUGAUUUAAAUUUAUUUUUCAAAAUAAAUUGAUGAGAUUUUUUUUAUAUUGUAUAAAAGUUGAGUGAUAAUAUUUUUUUCCCAUUUCAGGUUGGGUUAAAUUUCCUAAUUAAAUCAUGUUUGAUUUUGCGUUUUGAAAAUUCCUUGAAAUUUUUUUGAUAAUUUUUAAGUUUUUUUUCUUUGCUUGAAAUUAAUAUUUUUGUUAUGUUUUUGUAUUAUUUUUUAAAAAAAUAUGUUGAGAUUAUGUCUGGCUGCGACGCUAGACAAAAGAAAUUUUAAAAUUUUUAAUUUUUUUCUUUACUUCAAAAUAUUACUUUCACCAUGUUUUUGUAUAUUUUUUAAAUAUUUUUUUUUUAAAAAAAACAUAUAUUGAGAUUGUGUCUAGUUGAGAGGCAAGACUCAAGAAAUUAAAAACAUUUUCAUUUUUUUAUUUACUUCAAAUUAAUUUUUGUUUAAUAUUUUUUUCUUCAUUUCAAAUUAUUUAGAUAGUGUUUGAUUUUGCAUUUCAAAAAUUGUUUGAAUUUUUUUUGACAAUUUUAAAGCUUUUUUCUUUACUUCAAAUUAAUUUUUUUUUAUGUUUUUGUAUUUUUUUUUUAAAUGUUGGCAUUGUGUUUGUCUGCGAUGCUAGACCCAAUAAAUUUUUAAAUUUUAAUUUUUUUCUUUCCUUCAAAAUAAUAUUUUUUUUUCAUGUUUUUAUAUAUUUUUUAAAAAUAUUGAGAUUUUCUCUGGCUCGUUUUGUGGGGCCUCUAAACCCAAGGAGGGUUAGAACAGACCUCGACGGCUGGGUCUGCACCCAGCGCGUGUGUAAUAGUCCGAACUGUACGACUCGAUCAAUGUUAAAAGAUUCCAACAUAUACUCUUUAUUUGAGGGUAAUGUUUUUUUUUUAUUUCCAAAAAUUCGACAGAGUUUUGUUUGCAUUUAGAACAUCCCAAGUUAUCGACUACUAUCAAUUUACUCAAUCAACCCAUUAUCACAAGGUCCCUUAAUUCCGGACCUUAUAUCAAACCUCAUAAUUCCACACCUCAUACAAUCCACACAAUAUAUAUAUAUAUCCUACGAGUAAGUUCAAUAUGAACAUAGUCCAACACAUCGUAUCAUAAAAUUUAAAGGAAAAGCAAUACUAUCAUGCAAAGAAAGUAUUUACAGUUAAUUACAAGAUAACUAAAAUACUACAUGCUAAGCUAAACCUUUAUAAAUACAUCAAGGUUUGCACAAAAGUAUACUACAUAAACACGUUAAUUCCCUUUUGUUUUAAGUUAAAUAUUUACAUAAGCUUCACAAGGUAGAGUCCUAAACUAAUGAUCUUCCUGGAUGUUUGAUGGACCUGUUACAUAAAUAAACAUACCAUUAUGUUGAUAAAGAAUAUAUGUAUGCUCAUGCAAUGAAUACGAAUGAAGUAUUAACUUUCUAUCGAAUCCAUGAGAAUUCUAACAAAUAACUUAUAUUUUGCUUGUAAAUCUUUUAAACCCAAUUAACACUCAUUUGUAUAUUCUUAAUUGAAUAAUCUUAUUUACUUGCAUAAACUGGGUGACCUUGCAAGGUUUAAUCUUGUAAUUCAUUUCCCGGCAAUCCUAUCAUGGAUGCCAUUAGCCGAAGCUAAUUAUGUAAAUCAUUUCCCGGCAAUCCUAUAACGGAUGCCAUUAGCCGAAGCUAAUCUUGUAAAUACACUAGGCUUUAUUUACAUUGAACACGAUAUUUAUUAUAAUUGCAUUCACCAGAAGGAUUCUAAAUUGUAUAAGUGCAAAUAGGAGGGAAAAUCAUGCACCUGCUUCGUCUGUCUCGCGACCUCCCCUAACAAAAGAUCCAAUCCUAGUUGCUCCUCCUGAAUCACAAGGAAGUUUUUUUUUUUUGGUUAUGAUUCCUUCAAGCCGAUAUUAUAGAGAAUUCAUAUUCAUCCAUUACUCAUAUGUUACUUUCUAUGCAUGUUCAUUUCCUCAUAAUAACAUACAUACAUAUAUCAUGUAUAUUUUCAGAGUUAGUAUCUCAAUAUACAAGUGUUCGUAUGACUCAAUUCUUUUAUAUUCUUAUUUAUAGUAUUCACGUCAAAGUCGUCUGACUUUGAACUGUUACUGUUUGACUUUGAACUGUUACUGUCCAAUUUCCAACUGUUACUGUUUGACUUGGAACUGUUACUGUCUAAACACUCAUCAGAUUUUUAACUAUAUCUAAAGUUCUAAAACUCCAUUUUAAGUGAGAUUGAUCUCGCUAGAAAGCUAAGACACGAGGCUACUAGUUCUCUGAGGAAGGAGAACCUAGUUUUGCCUCCAAGAUAGUCAAAAUUGUUCAUUUACUAAUUAGUCCUACUACCCUACAUAAUUAGUUACGACUCAAUCUCAGUUGGUAACCCAUAACUGGAGUUCUACAUCUCCAAAUUGAGCAAGACCAGUUUCUUUGGUUAGCUAACAUUCAAAUCUACAAUUUCUAUGAGGAACCCGAUCCUAAUCCCCUCAUCCUCCUACCCGAAAUCUCAUCAAAAGUUAGGAGACAAGUCUGUCUAGAUUCGUCUCCCCCUCCCCUUCACACAAUACUUUCAUAAACUACAUACCACACACAUGAAUUAACUUAAUCUCAACAAUAAGUACUUUUUCCCCAAUUUAUGUCUAAGAACCCUAACCUAUGAUUCAAUAUCAAGGCAUCAAUUCUUUAUCGAAUUUAAAAAUGAAUUUUUUUAAGAUCAUGUUUAGAAUACCUUACCCGGUACAAAUUAAGAUUUUGAUCUUCAACCAGUUGAAGAUUUUCAACUCCCUCCUUUCUUUUCUUCUUGUUCAAUUUCUUGGUAAUUUUUUGCUCUCAAGUGUUUAUCCCAUCUAUAAGCUCUUAAUCUUGGAUGGGUUCUUGAAAUUUUAGUGUUUCUCUCUUGAUUUCUCAAGAAUGGGUAUAAACUCCCUAUCUUCUCUUCUUAUGGUUCCUACAGAUUUUUUUGGUGAGGAGAGAGUAUUUAUACUCUAUAUUUUCCCUUAUUUGCAUUUAGGCCCUCCUUUUCCUUUAAGUGUAUUAUUCUCUUCAAUUAAAUCCAACCCUCAACAGUACCGGGUUUAUUAUAAUAUCGCGAAUUAUUUCGCUCGGAAAUUUAUAUUCAAAAAUUUCAGAAUUUCUGUUUUUAUUUAACCAUAUGCAUGAAUUUCAUCACUUUUAUUUAUUUAUUAUUUUUCCCGGGGUUUACAGCGCGGGUCCAGAGGCCAGGAGCGCGGGGUUGCAGACCCUGCCUCGCGGGUAUGCAGACCCCAGGGUCACAAGGCUGCACACUCGCUUGCACUGGGGAUGCAGCCAGGCGCGCGGGUCUGCCUUACCACCUAAGGCAUGGCAGGCCCCGUGCUAGGUGUCUGCAUGCUAGGGCCUUGGCCAGCCCUAGUGCUAGGUGGCAGCAACCUAGAGCGCGAGCAGGCGCACGUGGCCUACCCCACUCCCAAGCCUGACAGCCUAAGCGCCAAGUGUCCCCAGCCUUAGGGGUUGUGCGUCCAGCCAGACACUUGGGGCCCACACUAAUAUUUUUUUCAAAAAAUAUUUUUUAACAAUAAUAGUAAUAAUGAUAAUGAUAUUUGUUAUUAUAUUUUUUUUUUUGCAAUUUCCUUCCAUUUUUAAUAUUAAUACAAGUAAUAAUAUUUAGUAAUAAUAUUUUUUUUAACAUUCAAUGAAAUUAAAAAUAUAAAUAUUUAGAAUAAAAAUAAAAAUAUUUAGACUACAAAUAAAAAUAUUUAUCACAUUAAUAAUAAUAUGAAACUUGUUUGACCAAAGUUGAUAAAAUAAUAUUUUUUUUAAAAAAAAUUAUUAACAAUAAUAAUAACGAUAAUUGUUGUUAUAUUAUUUUUUUCAAUUUUCUUCUAUCCUUAACAUUAAUACUUUUAAUUACAAUAAAGAUAAUAAUAUUUAGAAUACAAAUAAUAAUAUUUAUCAUAUUAAUAAAAAUAUCUACAGUAAUAAAUUUUUUUAUGAUAAUUAACCAUGAGACAAUAAUAAUAAUGAUAAUUGCUAUUGUAUUUUUUCCCCUGCAGGGUCUGUCGAUCCAGCCGUGCGAGCCUCUAAACCCAAGGGCGGUUAGAACAGACAUCGGCGGUCGGGUCUGCACCCAGUGUGCGGGUCAGGAGGCUAGGAGCGCGGGGUGCAAACUCUACCUCGCUUGUCUGCAGACCCCAGGGUUGCGGGGCUGCAGCAAACCCCGCGCCAGGUGUCUGCAUGCUAGGGCCUCGGCCAGCCCUAGCACCAGGUGGCAGCAGCCUAGGGCGCGCGCAAGAGCGCGUGGCCAACCCAACGCCCAUGCCUGUCAACCCAAGCGCUAGGUAUUCGUAGCCUCAGGGGGUGUGCGUCCACCCAGGCACUUGAGGCGUGCAAUAAGAUUUUUUGAAAAAAAAGUUUUUUAAAGAAUAAUAAUAAUGAUAAUUGUUAUAAUAUUUUUUUUUCCAAUUUUCGUCUAUUCAUAAUAUUAAUACAUUUAAUUAAAAUAAUAAUAAUAAUAAUAAUAGUUAGAAAAAUAAUAAUAUUUAUCACAUUAAUAAUAAUAUGAAACUUGCUUGACCAAAGUUGAUACAAUAUUAAUAAUAAUAUGAAACUUGCUUGACCAAAGUUGAUACAUUAUUAAUAAUAAUAUUUAUCACAUAUUUUAUCAAAUUAUUUACAAAUAAUAAUAUAUUUUUAUGUUUGAAAAUCCAUUUUUUAUAUACUCACAUCAAAAUAUUCAUUCGUGUAAAAAGGAAAUAAUAAUAUUAAUUUUUCUUUUCUUUUCUCUUAUUUUCGAUAUGAAUACUUUUUUAUAUAUAUUUUUGAUAUUUCUCUUCUUGAAUUUGCUUAUUAAAGCAUGUUUGUUUUUGCGUUUAAAAAAUGCUUUGAAAACAUUUUUAAAAUUUUUAAUUGUUUUGUUUACUUCAAAUUAAUAUUUUUGAUGUUGUAUUUUUUUUUGGUCUAGGUCCAUGACUGCGUUUUUAUUAUAAUUCUAAUUAUAAAAUAAUAAUAUUUAUAAUAAAAAUAAUUAUAUUUAGAAAGCUAAGACCCAAUUCUCUUGGGUCGUGACGCAGGACCCAUUACCCUUGGAUCCUGCCGUGGGACCUAAAGGAAUUGGGUCCUGACGCAUGACCCAAUCCUCUUAGGUCCUUGGGUCCGGCGGCAGGACCCAAGAGAAUUAUAAUAAAAAUAAUAAUAUUUAUAAUACAAAUAAUAAUAUGUUUAAUGUCAAUAACAUUAAUUAUAAUAAACAUAACAAUAUUUAUAAUACAAAUAAGAAUAUCUUGAAUUUCAAUAACAUUAAUUAUAAUACAAAUAAUAAUAUUUUUCAUUUAUUAAUUAUUAUAUGAAUAAUAUUAAUUAUAAUAAAAUACAAAUAUUUAUAAUACAAAUAAUUUUAAUUUUAACGUUAUUAUUAUUAUUAUUAUUAUUUAUAAUACAACUAAGAAUAUUUUUUAAUAACAUUAAUUAUAAUACAAAAGUAUUAAUAUUAAAAAUAUUAUUAUUUGUAUUAUACAUAUUAUUAUUUUUAUUAUAAUUAAUAUUAUUCAUAUAAUAAUUAAUAAAUUUUGGAAAUUUAUUAUUAUUAUUAUUAUGAUUAAUAAAUUUUAAAAAUACUAUUAUUACUAUUGAAGAAAAACCAUUAUUUUUUUAAAGAUUUAAAAAUAUAAUUCAAAGUAUUCAUAUAAAAAAUAUAAUUAUUUGUAUUAUAAAUAUAAUUAUUUUUCUUAUAAUUCAAAGUAUUCAUAUCAAAAAAAUUAUUAUUUGUGUUAUAAAUAUAUUAUUUUAAUUAUAAUUCUAAGUAUUAAUAUAAAAAUAUUAUAAUUUGUGUUAUAAAUAUUCUUGAGUUUGUUAAUAUAAUUAUUUGUGUUAUAAAUAUUAUUAUAACAAAUAAUCAAAUGCCAAGCGCCCUAGGGCUGCAUCCAAGCAUGCGUGUCCGGUCAUAGCGCUCAAGGCUCGUCACACCCUUCGCCAGGUGUGUGCAUGCUGAGGCCUCGGCCAGCUAUAGCGCCAAGUGUUUGCUGCCUAGGGCCGCGACUAGGGGCGCGUGGCUGGCCCCAAAGCCCUGGCUUGGCUACCCAAGCACAAGGUGUCGACAGUCUAAUCUAAUUAAAUGUCGCCUCUGCCGCUGCAUCACUCCCAUCUUAAUGACAAAAGUCAAAUGAGCCACCCCAGUCGCAAUUCUUGACUAAAAACACAGGUAAGGAACGCCCCCCAAGGUGCUAUAGUGUCAUCCACAGUUCAUUGUAUCUUGGGCCACAGUGCAUGUACAGUAGAAAAUCCUAAUACGUGUUAAGACAUAGCAAAGCAACUAUGUAAGUUUUAAUACAUAGCAAAACAACUGUGCAAAUCCACAAUUAAUUGUCUCUUGGUCCACAGUGCAUGCAUGUACAGUAAGUCCACAAUGAAUUAUCUCUCAGUCCACAAUGUAUUCAUGUAUAGUAGAAAACCACGUGUUUUAGAGUUUUGUUAAUAAUAAAAAAAAACAAAAAUAAUUUUGGUUUGUUGUAUACGUCUCAAUCUUUACAUAACAUUGCAAUUUAUUAAUAAAAAGGAGGGGAAAAUGUUUUUAGCAUUGUUUUUUUUUUUCAUUUUGUAAUUUACAAUAAGUUGGCCAAUAUUUGGCCAAUAUUUCAAUAACUCUAAAAAUUUUAAUUCCUAAAAAUUAAAGGUCAACAUUAUGGUAUAAAUGUUAGACCUACCAGUAGGCUAGUAUUUAAGUACCAGAAGUUAACUAGAAAAUUUUCAGAAUUAUUUUGGAUAUUCAUCAUUUUUAAUUGUGAGUAUUUUUUCAUCACAAUAUAUGAGUUGUGGAAAACAUUUUCACCUUUCAGGAUAGGUGACUCCUGUCAAAGCACCUACAUGAAUUUUUUUUAUAAGAAUUUACCUAAACAUACGAGUCCAUAAUAAAUUUGAAAUGUCAUAUUUAUUUAUGGGCGUAAUUCCUUUUUCUGAGCCAUAAAUGGGCUACCGGUUAGGAACCCAUCAACACGUUUAAACCACAUCAUGACAACACAAUACAACUUUACUCAAGUAAGGAUGUUAAUGCCUUUUUCUAGCCAAUACUGGUCCCUUACCCUGAAAUUUCAGAUAAGAUCAGUUACUUGGGUCUUCUAAUGACUUUGAAAUCACAAAACUAGGUGCGGACUCCUUAAUCCCGAUGCUGCAACACCGCGCGCACAUAGGCGACACAAUUCAUGCUUGAUUAAUCAUCCAUGUGAAUUAUUAGGUUUCGAAUAUGUUGGCACAAAUAUAAAUCAUAAUCUUAUUCAAAACAAGAUUAAAUAAAUUAAGCAAUUUAAGUUACUAUCAAUCCAACAAAUUGAUAGAUUUAUAUUUAAAUAUCAAAUGCAAGAUACCAUGAUCUCUUAAAUCUUGUCCCAGUAUAAAAAAAAUGUGAGUAUAUGAACCCAUGAAGUGGUAUCAGAAUCUAUUUUCCUAUUAUUAUUAACUAAACGGAAAGCCAUAUCUUACUGCUUAUACUAUAAUAUUGGGAUUGAGUGGUACAAUGUCCAGAAUGCUUCUAAGGAUAACCAUAUGUCCAUAUCCAUAAGAUCUCAAUGGAUUGACCCUUACUACAGAAUCUAGCACAUCCUUAAGCUAGAAUAAAGUGCCUUCACUGAUUAAUCUAGCAUAUAUAUCUAAUUAUUUGAAAAUCUUUUCAAAUUUCAUUCCACCUUAUAUAAAGAUUUAAUACUUAAUAUUAUUUGAGAAUACAUAUAGAUUGCAAGCAUCGGCUUUUAGUGUACUUUUGAUGACAUGAAACUACCACAAAAUGGGUCCUAUCCGAGAGAGUGUUCUCUUUCUGUUCUGUUAUCACAUAGAACUGAAAUCUGUUCAGAGUACCCCUCCAAGAAAAUUGAUGCGGGCAGAAAGACAAUAAUAAAUACAGAAAAAACACAAGAAUUUUAAUGAGCGAAAUGGGCUGUUGAUGUGAACAUUAAGUUCACAGGUUUUAUUUUCUCUUAAAUAACAAUCAUCACUACAAGAUUUCACAGUUUUACUGACGGACCAAUUCCGUCGAUGUGUGAUUAGAAGUUCGUCGGUGAUUUUUUUACCGACGUCAUCACCGACGGAUUACGUCCGUCCGUCGGCAUUCCCUUCGUCGGUGAUUCCCCCUUCCAUCGCUAUAUCGAUUGGAAAAACAAAAAAAUCAUUUGCCGAUGGUUUUACAGAUGGAAUUUGCGCGCCAAAAAAAAAGAUUCCCGCUUGAAAUAUACCGACGGAUUUUUAUUCUGUCGGUGAUAUUGUAAUUGACCGACGGAAACUAUCCGUCGGUAAAUACGUCGGUGAGUGUAUGAAAUACCGAACGAAUAUAUUUGUCUGUAAAUUCGUCGGUACUGGUGGCAGUUACUGUUAAAUGCCGACGGAUUAAUUCCAUCGGUAAUUCUGUCAGUGAGUGUUUAAAAUACCGACCGAAUUAAUCCGUCGGUAAAAUCCUUGGUAAUAGUUUUUUUCUUAAUUUUUUUUAAAAAAACUAUUUAGGAUAUAUAAUAUAAAACUAUUUAAAUUAAUUGUAAUACAAACCAAUUAUGCAAAAAAAAAUUAUAUUAAACAUAAAAAAAACAAAGUUAAAUAAUAUUCAUUACAAACUGAAUAUGUUUCAAGAAAAAUAUUAAAUGAAGUUUUAAAGGUAAAUAAUGUUGAUUACAAAUUAAUAUAAAGGUGGAGCUGGAGGAGGAGGAGGAGGAGAUCCUGGAGGAGGCUGGUGAUUAUACGGCCAAAAAAGAUUAGGCGCACAUGUUCCACUAUUUGUCAUGUUCAUUAGCAUUUCGCGAAGUUGUUCAUAAGCCGCUUUUUGUUGUUCAUGAGCCGCUUCAUACUCCGUUUUUUGUUGUGCUUGAGACGCUUUGAGUUGCUCAGACUACGCUCUUUGUUCCGCUCUUUGUUGUGCAUGAGACGCUUUGAGUUGUGCGUACUCCGCUUUUAGGUGAUCGUAUUUCUCGGUGAGCUGAGCUGUGUGUUGCUGCAAGGCCACGAACUCCUUAGAUUGGGAGCUCGAUAUUGAUUGGGAGCUCCCAACGGUUGAAACACUACGGGUCGACCGCAAGUUGUCGGCCGUAGUGUUGGAGAGCCCGUAAACCCGAUUUUUAUCGGGUCCACUUGACAAGCCAACCUCCAUCCACAAAUCCGGAUCGAAUUUCGAAUGGGUCAAAAUAUUGUCCCCGUAUCUCUCCCUCAACCGAUUAUUAUAGGUCUCCUGAAAAUAAAAAUAAAAAAGUAAUCAUCAUAUUCAAUACAAUAAACAUAAUAACUUACAUAAUAACUUACAAAAUAAAAUGGUUGAACAAACAUACCACGAAAUGCUGAGCACGGUUAUCAACGAACUGUUGCGCCCCCUUCUGGCAGUCUUGACUCUGCACGUGCGUCUCCACAAACAGCUCCAUCGGGCUCAGCUUACGUCCAAGAGACGCAGCCUAUAAUGAAAAAAGAUAUAUUAACAACAACUGAAUUUAACGAUAUAUUUCAUUUAAAUUAAUCUUACCAUCCGUUUCGCAUGUGCAGCAAACGGAACGGAGCCGUCAGUGUGCGUUGUCACCCCGCCAUGAAUUGGCCGAUUCCGGUUGCCAGCACCGGACUGUGAGUGUCGUGUGAACCGUUCAGACGUCACGUGCUCAAGAUAGUGCGGCCAUAUAUCUUCCGGGAUGUAUAUCGGUUUGAAAUCCCUCCAAACCGCAACAUCGUUCCAGCCUUGGAAACCCCUAUCCCUCGCGGUUUUUUUUGCCUUUUUUUGUGCUUCAUACCAAAAAUCACGCAACCUACUUCACGCAACCAAAAAUUACAUUUCGAAACAUAAAUUUUUGGCUAAAAAAAAUCCUGUAUUGUUUUCGAUCUUACCUAGUUGCCGCGUGAUUUUCCCACACCCUCCUCACAACAGUGUUAUGCUCACUGUCCCAGCAGAAUUUGUGCUGUGUAUAAAUAAACAAGCUUAAAUAAAAAUAAUAAUUUAUUUACAAUUAUAUUAAUAAGCUGAAAAUUAUAAAUUAAUACCAACCUCAAACCUGUUAAACCAUGCAUUGAUUUGAGGCAUCCAUUCAGGAUGCUUGGAUAUCUGACUCCAUUGAAACAAUGGAAUCUCCAUCGACGAUUUAAACGCCGAUGAUAUUACUCGGGCGGCUUCAAUGUUUGUGAACCUGAAAAUAAAUGAAAUAAAUUCAAUAGUGAUUACUUCAUAAAUUAUGUUGUAAUUUUUUUAAAAAAAAACUAAAACCUUAACAAACUUACAUUGAAAGGUCGUCCUUCCAUUGUGCCUCGUACUUGCGGGUAAAUUGAUUCCGCUGCGAAGGCACGCCGUCUCUGCGCUAUGAAGUACCGCUAGAAGAGGCAGCAUCGGUUGACGGCGCAGGUGGUGUAGGUGCCUCUUCUUGAGAGGCACCUAAGGAAAUAUCAUCAUCGCUGCUAGACGAACUAGCUGUGACCGUACUUGAGCGACCAGCUCUGGUUUUCGUUCUACGCAUCUACACAAUUUGAUACAAAUAAUUAUAUAAUUAAAUUCAAAUGUAAAAAAAAAAUUUGACAGCACCUCCCCUAUACCGGAUACUACCCAAAUCCACAAACAUGCACAUAUUAACAAUAGCCACAACCAAUUUACCCAAUCUAUACUAAUUAUUCCAACAUAUUCAAUUACUAAUCCUAAGGUAAAUUCAACAUUAAGAAUUACAAUUCAAGUAAUUAUUCAAUAAUUAUACCAAUAUAACAAAACAAUAAAUUAAAAAAAAAACUCUAGAAUAACAAUCAAAAUAAAUGGAAAAAAUUAAACACAAAGCAUGCAAUAAUAGAGUAAAACUAAUAAUUAUUCCAACAUAUUCAAUUACUAAUUCUAAAAUAAAUUCAACAUUAAGAAUUACAAUUCAACAAAUUAUUCAAUAAUUAUGCCAAUACAACAAAACAAUAAAUUAAAAAAAAACUCUAGAAUAACAAUCAAAAUAAAUGGAAAAAAUUAAACACAAAUCAUGCAAUAAUAAAGUAAAAUUAAUAAUUAUUCCAACAUAUUCAAUUACUAAUUCUAUGGUAAAUUCAACAUUAACAAUAAAUAUUCAACAAAUUAACUAAUAAUAAUUAUGCCAAUACAACAAUAAAAAAUAUUCAGUAAAUUUAAAAAAAAAACUAUAGACUUUAGCAAUGAAUUAUGCAAAAAAAACUAUAGACUUUAUCUACAUUACAAAAAAUACACCAAAAAAAAAAACUAACCAAAAAAAUAGCAAAAAAAAACCAUUAGAAGAAACACUAACCUUUUAAACUGAUGGAGAUUCACGAUAAAAAAAGCUUGAGAUCGCCUGAAGAACGGAGAGAAGAACGGAGAGGAAAAGAAUGGUGAAAAACUGAGGAGAAGAGAAAAUGAACUGAAGAGGCGGUCGGGGGAGUUUAAAUGCCAAUUUUACCGACGGAUUCACCGACGUCUAUAAAAUUAAUUAUUAUUUUAAUUUAUUCCGUCGGUGAGGUGUUAAAAAUCCGUCGGUAAAUUUUGAAUUUCGCACCAAAUUUUUUAAUGGCCCUCUAUAUUUUUCGCAGUCCGUGGCAAAUCCGUCGGCAAUCUGACGCGGUCAGAGAUGCAUUUAAUGCACAACCCUUUGAUAUUCGCGCAGUCCGUCGGGAAUUGUGUCGGUAAAAUUGACAACGUACCGACGACUAUAUAUUCGUCGGUGUGGUCGUCGAUGAUAUGGUGGCAUUACCAGUAAUUAUUUUCGAACUCUCUGUGAAAUGCCGACGGAAUUAAGUCCGUCGGUGUGGUCGUCGGUGAUGUGGUGGCAUUUCAAGUAAUUAUUUCCUGUCACAAAAUAUAUCAUCCAUGAUCAAUAAUUAUUUCAAGUAAUUAUUUCGUAAUUGUGGCAUUUCAACUAAUUAUUUCAAGUAAUAAAUAUUUUGUGUUUCAAAAUAUAUCAUCCAUAAUCUAAAUUACAUGAAAAAAAGGGUUUUACAUAGGGCUUCAUUUUGGUAGUUAGUCAGAAUUUUCUUCUUCUUCGUCAUCAAUUGAAUUGUCAUCACCUUCAUCGCAAUCUUCAACAUGAAUAUCAUCUUCUUCAUCGACAUUUGCUUGUCCGCUAGAGCUCAAAACAAAAUUCAACUCCUCUGCAUCAACAUCAACAUGACUAUCAUCGAAAACACGAAAAUUUGAAUUUUCUUCCAAUUCAAUCGAAGGAGUAACUCGAUAUGGUUCAACCACCUCACUAACUUGAAAGACUUCAUCUCGCACACUUGUGUCUUCAUUCUCAUCCUGAACAACCUCGACACGACCCCGGGGUUUUGUUUUUAAAACGGACAACCAAUCCACUCUUGAUCGAUCCUUUCUAAAUGAAGGGGUGUAUGUGUAAUAAACUUGUUGACAUUGCUUUGCGAAAACAAAGACAUCGUUUAUGUUGCGGAGUCUAGCUUUUGAGUUGAUUUCGACCAGACCAUAGUGCGGAUCAACUCUGAUUCCUCUGUCAGUCGUGUCAUACCAAUAGCAUUUGAAUAAAAACACUAUAUUCUGCUCGUCAUGAUAUUGUAGUUCGACGACCUCUUCUAAUCUACCAUAGUAGUCAACUUCUAACUCACUACUAGUGGAUCCCUUAACACAAACACCGCUGUUGUAUGUCUUUCUUCCUUGCCCGUAUUCUUCAGUAUGGAAAACAUAUCCAUUGACAAAAUACCCGUUGUAGCACUUACAUUUUCUUUCAAGCCCCAGGCUUAGUGAAGACAAUGACUUAGGUGCACUCCUUCCCAUUUGAUAAACCUUGUAUGUAAUGUACAUCAAUAAAUAGUAAAUGAACGAGAAUCUCGUAAUGACAUGCAUACGUACAGUAAUUUUGCAAGUUAGAAUGAGUUUGUGAUAGUGCUUACAUGUGUUCUGAACCACGUGGCAAACUGCUCAUCUUGUAAUUGAAAGAUCUGGGAUUCGGUCAGCUGUGAGUUAUUGGAGAGCAAAUAUUGACGAUGUUGCCUGCAAGUGAUAAUGAGUGUAUGAUAUUACAAUAUAUAAUUAACAGUAUAUUACUAACAAAGUUUAAUUAGUAUAAACUUACUGAAUAAAAGGUCUCAGCUCAUCACACUUAAAUAGAACAUAGUUGUGUGCUUGUUUGAACUCUAUUUCCGACAAAUAUCUUCCUCUUACGGCAUUUUUAUGUGUGGGUCAUCCAGUAUUGGAGAAUAUUGACAAGUUCCCACUGGAUGGCACUUCACCGCCAUCAUCAUGCCGUGGACCGCGAUUGAUUCUCGUUCUCAGAUGAGGUUCGAAAUAGUACGAGAUAAAUGUUGAGAUCUCCUCAACAAUAUAGGCCUCACAUAUCGAAGCCUCAACAUGCGCCUUGUUCUUAACCUUUUUCUUGAGAUUAAACAAGUACCUGCAUUGAAAUAUUAAUCAAGUAUUUUCAAUUAAGAAAAACAUAUAAAAUACUUUUAUAUAUGAAUUACAUUGCAACUGUAAUAUCUAACCGUUCGAAUGGGUACAUCCAUCUAUAUUGGAUCGGACCUCCAGCUUUUGCCUCGAACGGUAGAUGUAUAGGGAGAUGCUCCAUUGAGUCAAAAAAUGAUGGAGGGAAUAUCAUCUCAAGUUUGCAUAGUGUCUCGACGAUAUUCGUUUGAAGCCUCUCAAUGUGAUCAACAUUCAACUUGCUGGAGCAUAUAUCUCUGAAGAAAUGACUAAUCUCCGUGAGUGCAUCCCAUAUUCCCUUUGGCAACAAAUCACGAAAAGCUAAUGGGAUGAGUGUUUGCAUAAACACGUGGCAGUCAUGACUCUUCAUUCCAUACAAUCUGCAGUCCUCUAUAUUAACCAGCCUUGAUAUGUUCGAUGCAUGUCCAUCCGGAAAACGCAGACUCUUAAGUCAUUUGUAGACUAGCAGUUGUGCGUUUUUCUCUAACACGAAGCUUGCUCUUGGUUUUGCAACCCGUGACUCAUCAUAAACCAACUCCAUAUUUUUACGGUUACAGUAUAAAGCUAUAUUCAAUCUAGCCUUGAUGUUGUCCUUUGUCUUCCCCUUCACAUCCAUGACGGUGUUGAAAAUGUUCUCAAACAUGUUCUUUUCGAUGUGCAUGACGUCAAGGUUAUGGCGGAGCAGAUUGGUCUUCCAAUAAGGAAGCUCCAAAAAGAUACUUCGCUUUACCCAAUUAUGGGUCAAACCAAAACCAGGAAACUUUUGCUUACCUGAUUGAAGGCCAAACACAAUGUCACCGUACUCUGAGACAACAUCAUGCAAUUCUUCACUAGAAAGACGCAGGGAUGCAACAUCUUUUUCAACUCUGCCAACAAAGAAAUCUUUUUUGUUCUUUCUGUACCUGUGAUGAAGUGGCAAGAAGCGACGGUGACAGUAAAAAAAAGAAGCUUUACCUCCAUUUGCUAGCGUGAAUGCCUUGUUGUUUUCCAUGCAGUAUGGACAUGCGAGUUUCCCAUGCGUGCUCCAACCAGAAAGCAUUCCAUAAGCUGGAAAAUCAUUGAUAGUCCACAUCAAUGCCGCCCUCAUAAGGAAAUUUUGUUUCCUCGAUAUAUCAUAAGUCAGAGCUCCGGAGGACCACAACUGCGCCAACUCAUCAAUCAACGGUCGAAGACAAACAUCUAUAUUCCGCCCCGGGCUUCUUGGACCGGGUAUGACAGUAGAUAAAAACAUGAACUCCGGCCUCAUACACAUUCCCGGUGGCAAGUUAUAAACUGUGAGUAUGACCGGCCAACAAGAAUAAGGAGCAGCAAAUGACCCAAAUGGGUUGAAUCCGUCUGUACACAACCCAAGACGCACAUUCCUUGAUUCAGCUGAAAAGUGAGGAUGAACACUGUUAAAGCGUUUCCACGCUUCGCCGUCAAAAGGAUGAACCAUCACUCCAUCAACCGCAUGGUGUGCUUGGUGUCAUGUCAUGUGCUCAGUAGUCCUUGGUGACAUGAAUAACCUCUGCAGUCUAGGUGUGAUCGGGAAGUAUCUAAGUUUUUUAUAUGCCACUAGAGUCUUUUCCCUGCUAGUUCUAGGUUUGUAACGGGAAUGCCCGCAUGUCAUGCACUUGGUCAUCUCAGCAUUUUCAAGGUAGUAUAACAUGCAGAAGUUAGGGCACAUGUCAAUUUUUUGGUAUCCUAAACCGAGGGGUUUCAUCAUGGACUUCGCAGCAUAGAAGUUCUCUUUCAGCCUGUUCCCUUCAGGUAAAAUGCUUCUCGCCCAUUCAAUAAUCUUGUCAUACUCGGCCUCACUCAACCCGUGAUCUGACUUGAUGGUGAACAUUUGUGCUACGACCGAUAAUUUACUGUGGUUCGUGCAGCCAUCCCAUAAUGGUUCGUUAGAAUCUUUCAACAAAUCAAAAAACCUAGCUGCAUCUGCAUUAGGUUCUUCUUCUACGAUUGGACAUUGACUGCCAUUACCUUGAUUCAUUCUCAUUGCAUCCAUAACCAUAUUUCUGUAAGGAUAAGUGUUGUCAUUUGCCGCUUCAUGCACGUUGCUAGCACUAGAAGUAGACCCAACCACCAUUUCUUCCAUUCUCCUCUUACUACCAAAUACUUCUCCAUAUGCAUACCAACACUGGUAAUUCUCCAUAAACCCUUUGUGUAGAAGAUGCAUCAUUACAACAUCUGGAUGCAGAUACUUUUUAUUUUCACACUUCCUGCAUGGACACCUAAUACCGCCUCCAAUAAAAUUUCUAGGAAUAGAUGUUGCGAAAUUAAUAAAACCCUGAACCCCGUUACAAUAAUCCAUCCUCCGCAAUCCUUGGGGUGAAUCUCGAUACAUCCAUGAACGAUCAUCCAUGACUUAUAUCGAACCUCUAUAAAAUUAUGAUGACAUCAUGUAUUAAUUAACUAAGUUAGGUAAAUAAACUUGCAAAAAUAUUACUUUACCUCGAGAUUAUCCAACAAACCAAUCACAACUUCUCAUAAAUAUUAAAUAUUCAUUAUUAUUUAUCAACGUCCAUACGAAUUAAAAUAUAUAAAUUUACAGAAAUUACCACUCCGCAAUACCAUUGAUAAAACUUUAAACGGACCCAUUAAGCAAGCUAUUAAUUAUUUCAAAAUAGCACAUGUAAUUCAUAUACUAACAAAAUACAUUUACUAAAAAAACAAUAAAAUUCACAUUUAAUUAAAUGUUAAAAUUUAAAAAGAUAGAAUUACUUACAAAAAUUGAUAAAAUCCAUCGGUAAAUCAGAACACGGAUGCUGUGACCACAAAACUUCAAGAAAUAUAACUUGUUGUGCUGAUAUGAGGAAGAUUUUUUUUUGGGGGGGGAGGGGGGGCUGGUUGUUUGCAGAUGGGGAGAGUUGGGAUUAGGAAGAAGAAGGAGAAAUAGGGGAGGAGAGGGUCAGCAGAGCUGACAUGUAUAUAUAUUAACUUUUUCCAACGGUUUCACCGACGGACACUCCAUCGGUGAUUCUGACGGACACAUAGACACGUCACCAUACGGAUCUGCCAUUUCAAAUCCCUCGGUGAGUCCGUCGGCAAUUUAAACGGCGAACCGGUCACGUCACUGUACGGGCUGUCGUUUUGAUUUCGUCGGAACAAAAUAACCCGCCAAAACCUCCACGUCAGUGACCCGCCUUUUUUUUAAAUUCGGAAACUUUUUCGUCCGUAAUUCAGUCGGUAACUACCGACGGAAAUUUUCCGUCUGUAGUUACCGACUGAAUUACGGACGGAAAAUGGUCCGUCGGUAGUUACCGACUGAAUGACAGACGGAAAAGUGUCUGUCGGUAAUUUCGACCUCAAAUUACCGACAUAAAUAUUUCGUCUGUAAAUCCGUUGGUAUUUAACGAAUUUCUGGUAGUGGAACUAAGCAUAUUGAGAUCGAUUAUCAUCUUACUCGUCAUCAUCUCAAGCAUGGAACCAUUGCUUUGCCUUUUGUUCCUUCUUCCUUGUAGAUUGCAGAUUUCUUUACCAAGGCGCAUUUCAUCUCUCGUUUUCAUUUUCUGGUUGGCAAACUCUCAAUGCUUGUAGCUGCCGCAUCGUGAGUUUAAGGGAAGAUGUUAAAUAACAUUUAUGUAGUCUUGUUUAUUAAGGGUAGAAUAUUACUUUCAGUUUAACCUAUAUAUACUUUAUUUGUUUUUAGGUUAAGACUAAGCACUCAUAAUAUACAGAUUAUUCAGAAUUCUAGCCUCCCUUUUGUGUUUGAUCUUAAUUCAUUUUAACAAUGCUAUUUGUUGAAGUUGUUGCCAGCCUUCAAAAGGUCACUCGAUCUCAUUUUAGAAACUGAUUUCUCAAACAUGGAAACCUGGAAUCUCAAAAUCUUCUUAAUCAGUACAUUCCUAGUGAACAAGUAUGUCAAGGAGAAAUAAAAGGAUUGUCAAUGCAUUUUUCCAGACUAAAGUUGAGUUUAAGGACAUUCAAAAAGGUACAGUUUGCAAGGCCCGGGGGGAUUUCCCCUGAGAAAUUGUUGGAAGAGAGGUAGAGAGACGUGGCAUACUGAAUUAUUUUAGAGAUAUUUUGUGGAAUAGAUCCAAAGAGCUCAUUGCUGGAGAGAUCUAUGCCCGUUAUGCUUGUGCAGUGUUUAAGGCCAAGAGGGAACCUGCCCUUGAGACCCAUAUCCGGAAGUCUGAUAUUCAACACCCUAUUCUCACUAGGAUCGAUGCCACCAUUCAACCCCCAAAAAGGUACAAAUGAAUCCUUCAGUAGAAUUCUCAAAGUUCCAAGAAGAGUUCGAGUAAUUAUCAGGGAAAGGUUUAGCCAGGUUGAGCAACAAUAGUGGUCACGGCUGCAACAAAGUUGUCACUGGCAGCAGCGUUGUGGGCAACAAUGUUGCUGGCACGAGUCAUGAACGUUUCUGUCCAUGAUGGUUAAUUCCUUGAGAUUGUUGGUAAGGACACAAUGGAGGAACAACAUUAAAGAUACUAUCUUUAAAGAUAUUUCCUCUAAAAAAAAAUUAUAUUUAAAAAUUAUUAUUAUAAACAAAAAACACUCAAAAAGUAUAGGUUUUACCUCGUAUAUAAAGGAAACAAAGAUUUUUUUCUUGCUCAACCCAACCUUAAACCUAUUAGAUUUAAAUAUUUCAACUUAAAAAAAAAUAUUAUACAUUUAAUUGGAAUAAAAAUCUUUUAAAUAACUUCUCAAAUUAUAUUAUAUUAUUUACAACAAAUUUUUCAAACCAUUGCAGUAAUUACAAUUCAAAUUAAAUUAUAAAUUAUUAAAUAUUAUUUUAAUAUAUUUUUAAAUAAAAAACAUUUUAAAAAAUAAAAAAAUACUCCUGAUAUACCCUGCUAUGCAGCUCUGCCGCUUGGAAAAUGAGCUAGAAAAGGUUACGGGAGGAGAAAGCAAUGCAAAUUCAUUUGAACAGCCUCCAUGAUUUUCAUUUUUGCAAUUAAUAGAAAAUUUAAAAUAAUUAUGAAAAAUCAAUGUAACUUCCCUCAUAUAUAUAUAUAUAUAUAUAUAUAUAUAUAUAUAUAUAUAUAUAUAUAUAUAUAUAUAAUCCGGGAUGUUCGGGUCAGCUUACGCGUACCACGAUUUAUUUUUGGAUCCANNNNNNNNNNNNNNNNNNNNNNNNNNNNNNNNNNNNNNNNNNNNNNNNNNNNNNNNNNNNNNNNNNNNNNNNNNNNNNNNNNNNNNNNNNNNNNNNNNNNAUUCUUCAAGGAUAGUUUAAUGUUUUAAAAGUAUAAAAUUUAAAAGAAAUUUUAAAAAAGUAAUUAGGAUUUCUGUUUUGAAUACUUCAAGUAUAAUUCAAACUUUUAAAUUUACAAAAUUUAAAAGAAAUUUUAAAAAAGUAAAUAGAAUUUCUGUUUUGGAUUCUUCAUGGAUUGUUUAAAUGUAUUAAAAUUAUAAAAUUUAAAAGGAAUUUAAAAAAAGUAAUUAGGAUUUCUGUUUUGGAUUCUUCAAGGAUAGUUAAAAGAUUUAAAAUUAUAAAAUUUAAAAGAAUUUAAAAAAAGGAAUUAUGAUUUCUGUUUUUGAUUUUUCAAUGAUAAUUAAAAGUUUUAAAAUUAUAAAAUUUAAAAGAAUUUAAAAAAAGGAAUUAGGAUUUCUGUUUUGGAUUCUUCAAGGAUAGUUUAAAUGUUUUAAAAGUAUAAAAUUUAAAAGAAAUUUUAAAAAAGUAAUUAGGAUUUCUGUUUUGAAUACUUCAAGUAUAAUUCAAACUUUUAAAUUUACAAAAUUUAAAAGAAAUUUUAAAAAAGUAAAUAGAAUUUCUGUUUUGGAUUCUUCAUGGAUUGUUUAAAUGUAUUAAAAUUAUAAAAUUUAAAAGAAAUUUAAAAAAAGUAAUUAGGAUUUUUGUUUUGGAUUCUUCAAGGAUAGUUAAAAUAUUUAAAAUUAUAAAAUUUAAAAGCAUUUAUAAAAAGUAAUUAGGAUUUCUGUUUUGGAUUCUUCAAGGAUAGUUAAAAGAUUUAAAAUUAUAAAAUUUAAAAGAAUUUAAAAAAAGGAAUUUGGAUUUCUGUUUUGGAUUCUUCAAGGAUAGUUUAAAUAUUUUAAAAGUAUAAAAUUUAAAAUAAAUUUAAAAAAAAUAAUUAGGAUUUCUGUUUUGGAUUUUUCAAGGAUAAUUAAAAGUUUUAAAAUUAUAAAAUUUAAAAGAAUUUAAAAAAAGGAAUUAGGAUUUCUGUUUUGGAUUCUUCAAGGAUAGUUUAAAUGUUUUAAAAGUAUAAAAUUUAAAAGAAAUUUAAAAACCAAAUUAUGAUUUUUGUUUUGGAUUCUUCAAGGAUAGUUUAAAUGUUUUAAAAGUAUAAAAUUUGAGAGAAAUUUUGCAAAAGUAAUUAGGAUUUCUGUUUUGAAUACGUCAAGUAUAAUUCAAACUUGGAAAUUUACGAAAUUUGAAAGAAAUUUUGAAAAAGUAAAUAGGAUUUCUGUUUUGGAUUCUUCAUGGAUUGUUUAAAUGUAUUCCAAAUAUAAAAUUUAAAAGAAAGUUUAAAAAAGUAAUUAGGAUUUCUGUUUUGGAUUCUUCAAGGAUAGUUUAAAUGUUUUAAAAGUAUAAAAUUUAAAAGAAAUUUUAACAAAAUGACUAUGAUUUCUGUUUUGGAUUUUUCAAUGAUAAUUAAAAGUGUUAAGAAUUAUAAAAUUUAAAAGAAAUUUAUAAAAAGUAAUUAGGAUUUCUGUUUUGGAUUCUUGCAAAGAUAGUUAAAAGAUUUAAAAUUAUAAAAUUUAAAAAAAGAAAUUAGGAUUUCUGUAAACCCCCGUAAAUAAAAAUAAAUAAUAAUAAUAAUAAAAAAAACACAUAGGAUCGAAGUAAUGACAUUUCGAUGAGUAAUGGAUAUUCGGUAUGAAAGAAAUGAAUAAAUAGUAGGGAUGACAAUAAAUGUGUCAUGUGAGAGAGAGAAUGAUCUCCAUAAACAAAUUUAAAGAUAUUGUUGAAGUCGAAAAGAGAGUCAUGAUUUUUAGUUUAAAACUUGUAACGUUAGCGAAACUAGUGACGAGUUUUAAUGGAUAAAAGAAUAAGAAAAAAAAAACCAGAAGAUAUGUAAACCCGGGUCAAAACACGUAUUUUGACAAAUUAAUGAUAAAUGUGGUAAUAUUGAAUUUAUUGAGUAUAAAUUAAGAGGAAAUGUCACGAGGAUCUAAGUAAAUAAAUUAAUGCGUGAAAUUCAGAUUUUAGCGUAAAAGACAUUGAUUGUCUAGUUUUACGGUAUCGAUGAUAUAUCUCAAUCCGACCGUUGGAUCGGGCUGAAAUUUUAUAAGGAAUCUCCAGACAUAUUAUUUUAUAUUAGGUUCAAAUUUCGUGUCAAUCGGAGUUUGGGAAGGAUUUGCGAGAGCACUGAAAAUCGGGUAAAUUGAAGAAGAUGACACAAAGGGCAUUAAUAAGGGCUUUUUUGUAAUUUUAUCAAAACAAAUACUCUCCUCUCCUCUCUUUAAAAACAGAGCACGUCCUCUGCAAAUGGAAAAACAGGAGGGAGACCAUUUGUUUUGUCCCAUUUUCUUCAUUUUCUCUUCAUUUCUUCAAGCUAAAUCAAAAGGGAGUGUGCUUAGGAGGAUUAUAUCCAAGAAAACAAAUUAAAUGACAACUUAGAGAGUUAUAGAGCUUGAGAGAAACAAAGAGAAGAAGCUGGAAAUUGGAAGAGGAGGACAUGAUUUUUGUAAAUUUUUGCAAGAAUUCAUUGAAAUAAGUUAAAGUAGCAAAGGUAAGCAACAUACCCUUUAGUAAUUUCGUUUUUCUCUCUUGUUCUUGCAUGAGGAGAAGAAAACCUCCAAGUUUAAAAUUCUAGGGUUCAUGUAAAUAUUUUGGGGGAGUAAUUGUUCAUGUGAAUUUCAAGAUUAAUUGCAUGAUAAUGGCUUGAUUUGCUGAAAAAUAGAAGGAAUAAAUUGAUUUGAAACUAUGGGUUUUGGGAUUGCAACAGGGCAGGAACUUCGGCAGCCAUAUUUUGACUUUGCACCGUUGGAUUAGAUUGAAUUUUGGAUAUGUUAUUAUACUCAAUGUCACCUACAUUCUGACCGGAGGGAUUGCAAAUAUCCGAUUUCGUUUGAGGGCUGUCACCGGAGGAACAUUUCUGGAAAAUCACCCUUCAAGACAGCUUUGUUCGUCGGCCGUUAUAUCAUCGUUUCACCGUUGGAUUGGUCUGGAUUUUGGACAUGUUAUUCAUCCAGAUGUUAUAUAAAUUCUGAACGGUUUGGAUCGGAAAAGAACACUCCUACCAGAAAUUAUACUUCCCGAACAGCAGGUCUCCAAAUUUCAGGUCAGUCCAGUAUUGUUCUGAUAUCGGGAGGUUUAACCGUUGGAUGUAUGUUAAUUUUGGAUAUGUUAUUCGAAUGAUGAUGAUGUAUAAUUCCACCGUUUGGAUUUAUUGAAUUCUAAAUUUACAGAAUGAUGUUUUAAGUUUGGUUUGAGAAAUAUUGAAUGAGAAUAUGAGGUUUAGCAUAAAAAGUAUGUUUUGGGACUAAGGAUAAUGGCAAUGGGUUUAAUGAUGAUGGUUGUGUUUGUGUUAUGUUUGAGUCAUGUUUGAUGUGUUGAUAAGUGAUGAUAUAGUUAAAUUCUAUAAAGAAUAGUGAUUGACUAAUACUUUGGUUGUGUUAGAAUGGGAAAUCAUGUUGUAAAUUUUGACCAAAACCAUAGCAGGGUAUGACCCCCAGGGUGUAUGGCUGCUGGGUUUGGCUGUGCAACCAUACCCAAUAUCCUUGGGUAUGGUUGCGCAGCCAAACCCAACACCUUUGGAGGGUAUUGGGUCCUGCACCUGAUCAAAAUAGCUAUAGUAUAAGUAAUCCAUCCUAGGGACAUCGGCAUAGGAAGAUUGAAAAAAAAAAAACAAAACGAUUGAUUUCCUUUGGUAGAUGGAUUGGAAAUCCAUGUUAUCACGUAUGUGAGAAUUCAACCCCCCGUACCUCUCUAUAUCUCUGUACAUCGUAAAUAUAUAUAUAUAUAUCUUUUUCACUACAGUAUAACACCACCAUUGAAUAUUAAUGCAAGAUCAUUGAUCAAUAAGGACGACUGGCUUCCAGACCCACCAACCAUACCCAAUUAAAUUUCUUUGUCGUUGCCUUCUCUGAUUUAAAUUUAUGUUUCAAAAUAAAUUGAUGAGAUUUUUUUUUAUAUUGUAUAAAAGUUGAGUGAUAAUAGUUUUUCCCAUUUUAGGUUGGGUUGAAUUUCCUAAUUAAAUCAUGUCUGAUUUUGCAUUUCGAAAAUUCCUUGAAAAGUUUUUGAUAAUUUUUAAGUUUUUUUUCUUUGCUUGAAAUUAAUAUUUUUGUUAUGCUUUUGUAUUUUUUUUUUUAAAAUAUGUUGAGAUUAUGUCUGGCUGCGAUGCCAAACCCAAGAAAUUUUAAAAUUUUUAAUUUUUUUCUUUACUUCAAAAUAUUAUUUUCUCCAUGUUUUUGUAUUAUUUUUUAAAUAUUUUUUUUAAAAAUAUAUUGAGAUUGUGUCUGGUUGAGAGGCGAGACUCAAGAAAUUAAAAAAAAAUUAUUUUUUUCUUUACUUCAAAUUAAUUUUCGUUUGAUAUUUUUUUCUUCACUUCAAAUUAUUUAGAUCAUGUUUGAUUUUGCAUUUCAAAAAUUCUUUGAAAUUGUUUUGACAAUUUUGAAGUUUUUUUUCUUUACUUCAAAUUAAUUUUUUUUUUAUGUUUUUGUUUUUUUUUAAAUGUUGGCAUUGUGUUUGUCUGCGAUGCUAGACCCAAGAAAUUUUCAAAUUUUAAUUUUUUUCUUUCCUUCAAAAUAAUAUUUUUUUUCAUGUUUUUAUAUUUUUUUUAAAAUAUAUAUUUUAAAAAAAUAUUGAGAUUUUGUCUGGCUUGUUUUUGGGGCCUCUAAACCCAAGGGCAGUUAGAACAGACCUCGACGGUGGGUCUGCACCCAGCGCACUGGUCCAGAGGCCAGGAGCGCGGGGUUGCAGACCCUGCCUCGCGGGUCUGCAAACCCUAGGGUCGCAAGGUUGCACACUCGCUCGCACUGGAAUGCAGCCAGGCGCGCGGGUCUGCCCUACCACCUAAGGCAUGGCAGGCCCCGUGCCAGGUGUCUGCAUGCUAGGGCCUUGGCCAACCCUUGUGCCAAGUGGCAGCAGCCUAGAGCACGAGCAGGCGCACGUGGUCUGCCCCACUCCCAGGCCUGACAGCCUAAGCGCCAAGUGUCCCCAGCCUUAUGGGUUGUGCGUCCAGCGAGGCACUUGGGGCCUACACUAAUAUUUUUUUCAAAAAUUAUUUUUUAACAAUAAUAAUAAUAAUAAUAAUAUUUGUUAUUAUAUUUUUUUUUUGCAAUUUCCUUCUAUUUUUAAUAUUAAUACAAAUAAUAAUAUUUAUUAAUAAUAUUUUUUUUAACAUUCAAAGAAAUUAAAAAUAAAAAUAUUUAGAAUAAAAAUAAAAAUAUUUAGACUACAAAUAAUAAUAUUUAUCACAUAUAUAUAUAUAUAUAUAUAUAUAUAUAUAUAUAUAUAUAUAUAUAUAUAUAGCCGGAAGAAAUUAGAAAAAUAAUAGGAGUCUGGAGCGGUCAGAAAAUGGUUAGAAAAAUUGAUUAAGGAGGUUAAAAAAUACAAAGAUUGAAAUUUUGACAAUAUAUACUUGAAUGAUGAGAGCCCUGUUGGAAAAGAAAAUUCAAUUUGAGGAGAAAAGUACAAAAUUAGAUGUUUAUGGACUCAAUUGGAUUUUAUUGAAGGUUUAAUUGAAUUUAUAGAGGGUUUGAUUGCAAGAAAAAUUGUUUUUUAAGUCAAUUUGGGCUUUAAUUGGAAGAAAUUAAAGUUCUGGGGUCAAAUUAUAAUUUUUAAGAGUUGAUUUGGUCAAAUUAGGGGCUUAAUUGCAUAAAUAUUGAAGUUUGAUGGCCAAUUAGGGACUUAAUUGAAGAAAUCCGAAACCAAGGACCAAACUAGAAAAGGCGCGUAAAUAGAGGGGCUGUAAUUAACCAAAUCAGGGCUUAAAUUAAAGAAAUUGGAAGUUUAUUGAUCAAUUGAGGGUCAAAUUGUAUAAAUCGGAAACCAAGGACGAAAGUGGAAAAGGCGGCCAACUAUAAGGGCGGCGAUUGAAGUUGGCAGGGAUUCAAUUGAAAUGAACAAAAGAUAAAUUAAGGACUGAUUUGGAAGUUGACGUGUUGGCGCCAUAUUUAAAUGAAACGGCGCGUUUUGUCCAAAACGACGCCGUUUCAUGUUGAAAAAAAAUAUAACAGAACGGUGUCGUUUUGAGAGACACUGUUCCUCCUUCUUCUUCCCCUGGACGCGCAGCAGGGGAAGAAAGAAACUUUUGUUUUUUCUUCUUUAAUUCUUCAUGCCUAUCUCCCUCCCCGCGUGCUUUGCCAAACAUCCGAAGCCCGAUGCCCCCUCAUAAUGAGAAACUAGCAAAGACGUGCCCAGCAAACCGAGCCCGUUGGUCACCUCAACCGGCGUCGUGACAGGGCAGUAAAGCCCUGCUCCCCAUGCGCAGCAAUAGGGCGGCAAUAGGGAUGCCCCCGCUCCCUUUGCCCUAUAUAUACCACCCAACGCCAGCACAUGACAAAAAAAAGACAGAGGACGAAAAAGAAAACGAGAGGAAAAGAAAAGGAAAGCAGACGGUGGAGAGAGAGAGAGAGAGAGAGGAAGACGAGUUUGAAACAGGGGAGGGUUUGAGAGUAAAAAAAAACAGACAGAGAGGAACAAAAAGAAAGGUAAACAUAGCAGCAGAAGAGGAAAGAAAACGAAGGAGAAGGGAAGAGCAGUAACCUCUCGCUCCGCCGUUUGUAACAGCGACACCGCCACCGGCCUCCACCGCAGCACCGCCAGCGAAGCAGCCAGACCAGCAAGGCACCUCCUCCUCCGCGUCAGGUAACUUUUCUUUCCCCUCCCUUUUUACUUCAUUUUGGGCAUAAGUUUCUCCUGCAUGCAGAAUGAAUAGCGUUCUGCAUGCAGGAGGAGGAGGAGAGGGGGAAAAUAAUUCCCCCUCCCUGUUUUUUCUUUCUGGGCCAGGCCGGUUCUGGCCCAGCCCUUAUGUCUGGGCCGGGUCCGGCCCGGACCCAAAGAAGCAGAGAGAACUGUUGGGCCGAGAUCGGCCUAACCCUUUUGGGCUGAGGCCGGCCCAGUUAACUGGGCGACCCAGCCCACACAAUUAUAAUAUUAUAUAUUAUAGUAUAUUAUAUUAUAUAUAUAUAUAUAUAUAUAUAUAAUUUUUUAAAAAACAAAUUCUAAAAAAUCCUUAAAAAUUUUGUUGAUUUUUCUGCAUAUUUUUUUUAUCAAAAUUAUUUAAUACUAGUUUGUAUUUUUAUACCGUAAAGAUACAGAUCCAGUAUUAAAACAUCCGGUUUUCGUCAAAACAUUGCAAAAAAUUUAUAUAAAAUAAAAAAAUAUUUUGUUUUUCAUGCAUACGGCCAAGUAUUUCAAAGAUAAGAAAAAUCAUCACAUCGUAUUUUCAUACAAAAAAAAAUCAUAUUGUUUUUUUAUACAUAAAACACAAAAUAUUCAAAAAUAUGUUUUAGCAUGCACUUUGGCUUUAAUAACAAGUUUGUUAGAGCCAUGAGAACUAGGCCAAUAUUUCAAAAAUUCUAAAAAAAUAUUUUUGUCUUCUUUUAGUAUCUGGGAUUACGAAUUUAUACGUAAAACGUAUUCCUGAUAUUAAAAAUGUAGUUUUCUUAUAUAGGCGUUAGAACGGUUAGAUUUUUACCCGAUAAGAUAAGGACCUCUUUACUGAGGAGGACUUUUCUUGAACUAUAGACGGACCAACAAUUAGAAAUACAAUAGCACCUUAGCUUUUUAUCAGACAAUCAAACAAUGCAGCUUACCUUAGGUAAGGCGUAUUUGGGGUGCUAAUACCUUCUCUUUAUGCAAUCAAUCCCCGUACUCGAUCUCUGAGACCAGUUAGAGUUCCUAGUGACCAAAAUACUAGGUGGCGACUCCCAUUCUAUUUUCCACCGAUAAAAGACAAGAUUUUCUUGUCUCCCCAUAUUUGCCACAUAGAUAUACAUUUAGAUUGAAGUGGAAUAUUCAUCACGACGCCGCACACGUGUGACAAUAUUAAGAAUAAUAUCUACAGUAAUAAAUUUUUUAUGUUAAUUAACAAUGAGACAAUAAUAAUAAUGAUAAUUGCUAUUGUAUUUUUUCCCCCUACAGGGUCUGCCGAUCCAGCCAUGCGAGCCUCUAAACCCAAGGGCGGUUAGAACAGACAUCGGCGGUCCGGUCUGCACCCAGUGCGCGGGUCAUGAGGCUAGGAGCGCGGGGUGCAGACCCAACCUCGCGUGUCUGCAGACCCCAGGAUUGCGGGGCUGCAGACCCGCUUGCCGUGGGGCUGCAACCAGGCGCGCGGGUCUGCCCCUAGCACCUAAGGCGUGGCAAACCCCGCGCCAGGUGUCUAUAUGCUAGGGCCUCGGCCAGCCCUAGCACCAGGUGACAGCAUCCUGGGGCGCGCGCAAGCGCGCAUGGCCAACCCAACGCCCAGGCUAGUCAGCCCAAGGGGGUGUGCGUCCACCUAGACGCUUGGGGCGUGCAAUAAGAUUUUUUUCAAAAAAUGUUUUUUAAAGAAUAAUAAUAAUGAUAAUUGUUAUUAUAUUUGUUUUUUCCAAUUUUCGUCUAUUCUUAAUAUUAAUACAUUUAAUUAAAAUAAUAAUAAUAAUAAUAACAGUAAGAAUACAAAUAAUAAUAUUAUCAUAUUAAUAAUAAUAUUAAACUUGUUUGACCAAAGUUGAUACAAUAUUAAUAAUAAUAUGAAGCUUGCUUGACCAAAGUUAAUACAAUAUUAAUAAUAAUAUUUAUCACAUAUUUUAUCAAAUUAUUUAUAAAUAAUAAUAUAUUUUUUAUGUUUGAAAAAUCCAUUUUUUAUAUACUCACAUCAAAAAAUUCAUUCGUGUAAAAAGGAAAUAAUAAUAUUAACUAUAUAUGCAUAUCCAUAAGAUCUCAAUGGAUUGCCCCUUACUACAGAAUGUAGCACAUCCUUAAGCUAGAAUAAAGUGCCUUCACUGAUUAAUCUAGCAUAUCUAAUUAUUUGAAAAAAAUUUCAAAUUUCAUUUCACCUUACAUAAGAAUUUAAUACUUAAUAUUAUUUGAGAAUACAUAAAGAUUGCAAGCAGCGGCUUUUAGUGAACUUUUGAUGACAUGAAACUGCCACAAAAUGGGUCCUAUCCGAGAGGGCGUUCUUUUCUGUUCUGUUAUCACAUAGAACUGAAAUCUGUUCACAGUACCCCUCCAAGAAAAUGGUCUCUCAAGGUAAGUCCUGAGGAAUUUGACACAAAUAAAACGAUAUAUCUUGUCCCAGUAUCAAAAAAAUGUUAAAAAAUGUGAGCAUAUGAACACAUGAAGUGGUCUCAGAAUCUAUGUUCCUAUUAUUUUUAACAAUACGGAAAGGCAUAACUAACUGUUUGUACUAUAAUAUUCUUUGGUAUAUUUAUUACCGAUGGACUCACUAGCAGACCAUAAAUUAUUGACGAGAGUUUUUUCGACGGACUGUCUCCAUCCGCGUGAGCCUGUCAACAAAAUACAUACCAAUGAACUGUGAGUGUGAAUAUCGACAAAAUUUUCUGUUAGUAAAACUGUUAAAUUUGGUAGUGAUCGCUUGAUCCGCCACUAGAAGUGAUGACAAGUUAUGACCAUUUUAAGUUGUUAUUCUGGUCUGACACAAUUAGACCUUCUCUUGGACCUAGACUUGUCCUACUAGUCUAUAAAUAUAUAUGUUAGAACAUCCAUAUCAUCUGUCUAGAGCAGAUACUAAUCUAAUUGUGACAGACCCACAUAUGGCAGCUCAGAAUCAUCUGUUAUCGCAAACCCAACUACAUCAUUAAUGGUCUCUCAAGGUAAGUCAUGAGGAAUUUGAAGCAUAUAAAACGAUAUAAGUUGUCCCAAUAUCAUAAAAAUGUUUUAAAAAAAUGUGAGUAUAUGAACCCAUGAAGUGGGAUCAGAAUCUAUGUUCCUAUUGUUAUUAACAAAACGGAAAGCCACAACUAACUGUUUGUACUAUAAUAUUGGGAGUGAGAGGUACAAUGUCCAGAAUGCUUCUAAGGAUAACCAUAUCCAUAAGAUCUCAAUGGAUUGCCCCUUACUGCAGAAUCUAGCGCAUCCUUAAGUAAAUAAAGAAAGCUAGAAUAAAGUGGCCUCAGUGAUUAUUUAGCAUUAUUAAGUAGGCCAAGUACUCUUCACUGCUUAUUUCCUAAUAAUUCCUUACUGUGGAAUUGCACUUACAAAUAAAGAACUUGUUCUUGAUAUUUUCGUACGGAAUUUCGUUUAUUCGGAUUAAUUUGAGGUUAACUAGAAUAAGAAAUAAAGAUAUAGGUUUUGGAAAGAAUAGAAAAAAAGAUUAUCAAAAGAAAUUAGAAAGGAAAAGUUAGUUAUAUGGAAUCAGAUUCACCAUUAAACUAAAGAGUCGGAAGGAAUCAUUUGUUCAAUAAUUGAAUGCGAUUUUUGUCUUAUAUAUAUUUUAGGAACUUUGCACUCGAUCGAAAGGGAACAUUUGUGCCACCAAGUACUAACAAUAACUGUCCAUAGUUUUGCAUGCAUAGACACUUUUUUUCCCGGUGUUAAUAGAUAUUUUCGGACCAACUUGAAAGCAAUUAUUAGAGAUAUCAAUUCAAUCUGAAUUCAAUAUGCAUACAUAUAUAUUACUUUUUUUUAUUUUAUAUUAAAUAUUAAAUAAUGUUUAGGAAAUAAAAAUCUAAAUGGAUCGAUGAAUAUAAUAUUAGUUUCUAAAUGAUGCAACAUAGCUAGAAGAAACUGAAGGUUAUGAGUGGACCUGAUAUAGCUAGAUGAGGGUCAAACCACCAACAAAUUACAUAGAUGACUUAACAUUUAUUUUUAUGGUUUAAUAAGAUAGGAAUAGGUUCAAGAAAAAAAUAUAGUCAUGCCAAACCAAUAAAGUAUCUAAAAGAAGCCAUAACUUGUCAUCCAAUCGUCAGAUAAAUCUCAAAUUUUUACUUAGAUUCCCAAAGCCCAUCUCUAUGGAGGAGCUCUUUGGCAAUCCAUCCUCUAAAUGGAUUUCCUCAAAUUAAGAUGAGAAGAUCCGGCUUAAGCCAAUUUUUUUGUUGUUUUUUUUUUUUUUCAAAAUUUUAUGUUUUAUCUCGGAUUUUCCAUUAUUUUUCAAAUUAAAGAAACCGAGAUAAAAUACCCUGAAUCUUCUUUCAUAAUUUGCUUUCGAGAAGGUGUAGUGUUUUUGCUACUUUUACUUUUGGACCUGACUUGAUUCCUGACCGGUAGAAACAGCAUUAGUCCAAAAGCAGGGAAGCUUUUGUUUUCUUUAAUCACAUGAUCAGAUAUUCUCAUUUAUGCCCAGCACAAAUUCAUAGAAGUGGCUCUAAUGAUUGGCUGACAACAGUUGUUAAUGAGCAGUGUUUGCGUCCCUUAUUUUUCAGUUUACUAAGUAUUUAGAACAUUCAAUUCCAAUCCAAAGUCGAUAAUAAUAAACUCUUGGUGAUGGUUUUGUUAUCGAAAGUGAUCGGACAUCGGACGACAAAAAAACCAGUAAAAUUUCUUGAACACAUCCAAAUCUAACAGUUUUUACUUUUUUUGUGUUUAAAUAUGAUAUUAAUAAACUAUUGAUGAUAAUCUUUUUUUCAUUUUAUGAUGUUUUUAUCGUAGUAGUGAUAAGAUGAAGAAAAGCUAUUGAUUUUUCUCUCAGCAAUGGUUUGUUUUAUCGUACACAAAUGUUGGGUGCUUUUAUUUACAAAAAGGAGUACUGUCUAACAAUAUUCAUUCCACAGCUGUUGUCAACCAAACCUUCCCGAUCUAUAUAAAGGUUGGUUUGGCCUCACACAUAUUAGCCAAGCAAGUAAACCAGCUCGACCUAUAUACAGCUACUUGUCUUGUGUAUUGACUGACAAAUUGUAGUUAACAUGGCACGUCAGGCAGACCGUCUUGCUAAGAUUGGGCUGGAGGGCUUUGCAGCCAGAGAUGAGCACUUCGGCCGGGCCAAGAGGCGGCCACCAGUGCUGAAGGUUCCCUAUGCUCAUCCGACAUAUUACUAUGCAAACCAAAUUCCUGCAACAGAAGUUAUCGACACCAACGAGGCAGCUCAACGCUACAAGGGGAGGGUUUAUCUCGAUUAUCCUAAGGGGAAACCAGUUCCGUUUUAAAGACCUAGUGAUUAAUCACUUAGCUUUCUUGUAUGCAUAACCUCCUCCAGUUGUGUUACCUUUAGUCCUGUACGAUAUUCUCCCUCUGCUAAACGUAUACGAGGAGAGGUUGCUAGAACUCGAGUCAGGAGCUUCUUGUUACUUCUUCAAAUAAACUUUCUGUGAUUUAUAUAUCAUUUUCUAUUUGUAUGUAUUGUCAUAAUUAUCACCUCUUACUUAGCAUGGAAUUGAAAGAUACAAUAUGCUCUUGAAAUGCUUUGAAGCUCUUCAAGGUGUGAUUUCACCGACUAAGUUGGAACUGUACAGAGCUCAAUGAUGAGCCGUAGGAGGCGUCUCUGAUUGUUGCACUGUAAGCAUGAGUGUACGUAUGAAUAUAACCAGCAGAUCCGCAAAGCACAAGUGAUGACAAGCUUCUUAACACGGCUACAUUUAACAGUUUUACCAACGAAAUUUUUUGUCGGUAUUUACUCUACCAUUCCGUCAGCAUGAAUUUUACCGACUGAUUUACGGACGGAAACAGUCGGUCGAUAAAUUCCUCUUGUCAGUAAUUUUAUUAAUGUCGGUAAAAAAAAACCGAUGGUUUUACAGACAGAAAAUGCAAGCCAAUUUUUUUUCCACUGGAAUAUAAAGACAGAAUUAUUUCUUCGGUGAUUGACAGUGGCAUAUGGAGUAAUUUUAUUCCAAACCCUCUAUAAAAUACCGAAGGAAUUAUUCCAUCGGUGAUGUAACAGUUGAAAUGGCAUAUGCAGUAAUUAUUUUUCAACUCUCUGGAAUAUAACGACCAACAAAGUUUGUCGGUAACUCUGUCCGUAAUAAUUAAAAAAUAUAUUUUAUACAAAAUUGUAUAAAAUUCAAGUAUGUGAAAAUAAAUUACCUAUGCUCAUCCGACAUAUUACUAUGCAAACCAAAUUCCUGCAACAGAAGUUAUCGACAGCAACGAGGCAGCUCAACGCUACAAGGGGAGGGUUUAUCUCGAUUAUCCUAAGGGGAAACCAGUUCCGUUUUAAAGACCUAGUGAUUAAUCACUUAGCUUUCUUGUAUGCAUAACCUCCUCUAGUUGUGUUACCUUUAGUCCUGUACGAUAUUCUCCCUCUGCUAAACGUAGACGAGGAGAGGUUGCUAGAACUCGAGUCCGGAGCUUCUUCUUGCUUCAUCAAAUAAAAUUUCUGUGAUUUAUAUAUUAUAAUUUUCUAUUUGGCUGGUCAAGUAUGCAUUGUCAUAAAUAUCACUCUGCUUCCCUGAUUAUUACCUUAUUCACCUAUUACUUAGCAUGAAAUAUUGAAAGAUUAAUGCAGUCGGAAGCACAACAAUAUAGCUGCAAGCAUAGAAAGACAAAAGAUAAACUGAAAUAAUGUUAAAACACUGAGAAUCCUAAAACCUUAUUUCUAAAUUAUUAAUUUGAUUAAGUUUACCUUCUAAAGAGGUUUACAAUCUCUUUCAUAGACUAGAAAAAUAGGCCAAGAUUCGAAACAAAAUCAGAAUCCCAAAACAUAACGGAAAAUAACAUAAAAUUUAAAAAUAAACAAUAAAUCUGCGAAAAUUAAGGAAAAAUAACAAAAUUAUCCCAAAUAAUAACUAAUUAGCCUACUUUAUGGAGAUACAAUGCUCUGAUAACUAUUGAGUUGUUUUUAAUGGGAAAACGGUUUGUAGAAUCUUCUAUAAAAAUUUAAACCUGAUUUAACGGUUAGAAUAUCUCCUGUUAUCAUUAUUUUAGGCUAUUAUUCUGGUCUUGCGUGAUGAUGCUUUCUCUUGGCCUAAACAUCUUUCACUAGUACAUGAACAUAUCUGUUAGUAGUCCGUUUAGGGCAAACAAAUAAUUAAUUUGCUGUUCAAAUGCUUUGAAGCUCUUCAAGGUGUGAUUUCACUGAAUAAUUUCGAGUUUAGAAUUAUCACCUCAUUUUAGAAUUGUCCCGAGCACAAGGAUAAAAUGAUGAGCCAUGGGAAGCGUCUCCGAUAAAGAAAUAAUAAACGGAGUUCAAGGUAAAACAAUAGCUUAGAAAAAAAAAAGUAGAAAUUUACACGAUAUCUAAGAAUAUCAGCGAUCAUGACCAUGAUUGGAUCAUUUCUGAGUUCUACAACCAAAAUUUCCUUCACAUCUCUUUAACUAAGCUGAUAGUCGAUGAAGAUUUAAGGAAAAACAUGAUUCCCAAUCCGAGCCAUAUGAGCAAGUGUAUCUAGUAAAAAUAUCUUAUCUCCCAUGAAAAUCAUAUUAGUAAGCCUCCCUCUGAAGCAUUGCUUUACACAUAUCUUUUACAGAAAAAAGAGAAAAAUGGGAAAUGCUCCGAGUUAUACCUUUUCUUGAUCUUUCCCAAUCCUUCAUUAUAAAUGGGACCCAUCAAAAACAUGAGAUGUGCUUUAACUUCCUCCAUAUUUCAUCUUAGCCUAGAAGGAUAAACAAGAAUAUUAUUGCUUCUGAAACAUAACGAUUGCAAGCAUCGCCUUUCGGUGAACUUUAGAUGACAUGAAACUGCCACAAAUUGGGUCCUAUCCGAGAGAGUUUUCUUUUUCUGCUCUGUUAUCACACAUAUACAACUGAAAUCUUUAAGUCCUCUUUAGGGUAUCCCUGAAAGAAAAUGAUCUAUCAUGCAUGGAAAGUCCUGAGGAAUCUGAGGCAUCACUACAUGAAAUUCAACCAACGGAAUUGCCGACAAACUGUUUCUUUCGGUAUUUUGCGGUGAUAUUUACCGACCGAAUUACUUCCCUUGCUAAAACCGUCGGUAUAUAUCGAGUGAAUCCCAGAUAGAAUAUAAAGAAUUUUAAAAAACAAAGCAGUGCAAUGACGUGGAAGUUUUGGUGGAUGAUGUUACUGAUGGAAUUACAGAGUGAUUCAAACUGGGAUGUUCGUACAGUGACGUGUUUACUUCACCGACAGAAUGGCCGAUGGAUUUACAAACAAAAAUAUUAUGUCGGUAAUUCCAUCGAUAAUAGUUAAUAUAUUGAAUGUUUUUUUAGUGUUUACUUGUUUUAUUACUUUUCUCAAACAAACAUGUAGUAUGGAUUUAUAAUUUUGUACUUGGUAUGGUUUGUUUUAGAUUUUGUAAAAUUAUAUUUGUUUGUAAAUUGUUGAAAUUUAUGUCGAAUUACCGACUUAGGUGUGUUGUGAUGAAAUAAAUAAUGACUUGUUUGAUGGGUCCGUUUUAAUUUUUGUCAAUUUUAUUGCCGAGUUGUAAUUUCUGUAAAUUAAUGUGUCUAAAUUUGUAUGGACGUAGAUAAUUGAUAAUGAAUAUUUAAGAGAAGUUUGAAAGUAAGUUGGAAAUCUUGAGCUAAACCAAUAUUUUUGCAAAUUUAUUUGCUUGACGUAGUUAAUUAAUACAUGUUGUCAUCAUUAUUUUAUAGAGGUUUGAUAGAAGUCAUGGAUGAUCAUUCAUGGAUGUAUCGAGAUUCACCUUAAGAAUUGCGGAGGAUGGAUUAUUAUAAUAGGGUUCAGAGUUUUAUUAAUUUCGCAACAUCUAUUUCGAGAAAUUUUAGUGGAGACGGUAUUAAGUGUCCAUACAGGAGGUGUAAAAAUAAAAAGUUUUUGCAUCCAGAUGUUGUAACGAUGUAUCUUCUACACAAAGGGUUCAUGGAGGAUUACUUGUGUUGGUAUGCACACAAAGAAUUAUUUGUUCGUAACAAGAGCAUGGUAGAAAGGAUGGUUGGGUCAACUUCUAGUGCUAGCAAUGUGCAUGGAGUUGUAAAUGACAAUAGUAAUCCUUACAGGAAUAUGGUUAUGGAUUCAAUGAGAAUGAAUCAAGAUAAUGCUAGUCAAUGUCCAAUUGUAGAAGAAGAUGCUAGUCAAUGUCCAAUUGUAGAAGAAGAACCUAAUGCAGACGCGGCCAGGUUUUUUGAUUUGUUGAAAGAUUCUGAUGAACCAUUAUGGGAUGGCUGCACAAAUCACUGUAAAUAAUCAGUUGUUGCAUAUGUGUUCACUAUCAAGUCAGAUUAUGGGUUGAGUGAGGCCGGUUAUGACAAAAUUAUCGAAUGGGCGAGAAGCAUUCUACUUGAAGGGAACAAGCUGAAAGAGAACUUCUAUGCUACUAAGUCCAUGAUGAAACCCCUCGGUUUAGGAUACUAGAAAAUUGACAUGUGUCCAAACUUUUGCAUGAUGUACUACCUUGAAAAUGCUGAGCUAACCGAGUGCAUGGCAUGAGAGCAUUCCCGUUACAAAUCCAGAACUGGCAUGGGAAAGACUCUUAUGGCAUAUAAAAAACUUAGAUACUUCCCAAUCACGCCUAGACUGUAGAGGUUAUUCAUGUCACCAAAGACUACUGAGCACAUGAUAUAGCACCAAUCACUUGAUGCAGUGGAUGGAGUGAUAGUGCAUCCUUCUGACGGUGAAGCAUGGAAACACUUUAACAGUGUGCAUUCUCAUUUUUCAGCUGAAUCAAGGAACGUGCAUCUUGGGUUAUGUACAGAUGAAUUCAACCCAUUCAGGUCAUUUGUUGAUCCUUAUUCUUGUUGGCCGAUUAUACUCACGGUUUACAACUUACCACUCUUAUGGCAACAGUUGCUCCUUCUUCACAAUACUUAUGGAACAAAGACUUGUUAAGUGCUUGACUAACGGACUGUUUUUCUCAAAGCUUUUAGUUUGGUUGACCUGAAACUUUGUUUUCGUAGCAAUCCCCAUCAACGGAAACUACGAUCAAACUGUGUACAAUUUGGUUAUCUUGAAAUCGCAAUCUAGUGAUUUGCUUAAUCCAAAACCAAAAUCAAUGCCAAAGUUCGGUCAACCUGAGAUCCCAAUUUGGCGAUCCGCUUUAACUAGAACUAAAAUAUGAAAAGUAGCUCGGUAACCUGAAAUCCCAAUCUGGCGAUUCACUUUAACCAGAACCUUGGUCUUUGUCGUUAAGUUGGUCAACCUAAAAUCCCAAUACGACGAUUCUCUUUAAUAAGAACCAAAAUGUCGCCUUUAGCUUAGUUAAUCUGAAAUCUCAAUCUAGAGACCCCCUUUAACCAAAACCUUGGUCUUUAUCCUUAGCUCGGUCAACCUGAGAUCCCAAUCUAGUGAUUUCCUUUAACCAAAACCAAAAUGUCACCUUAAGCUUGGUUAACCUGAAAUCUCAAUCUACAGAUCCCCUUUAAUCAGAACCUUGAUCUUUGUCUUUAGCUCAGUCAACUUGAGAUCCUAAUCUAGCUAUUCCCUUUAAUUAGAACAAAAAUGUCACCUUCAGCAUGGUUAACCUGAAAUCUCAAUCUAGAGACCCCCUUUAACCAGAACCUUGGUCUUUGUCUUCAGUUCGGCAAACCUAAAAUCCCAAUCUGAUGAUUCGUUUUAACCAGAACCAAAAUGUUGCCUUAAGCUUGGUUAACCUAAAAUCUCAAUAUAGAGACCCCCUUUAACUAAAACCUUGGUCUUUGUCUUUAGCUCAUUCAACCUGAGAUCCCAAUCCGACAAUCCUAUUUAACUAGAACCAAAAUGUUUCUUUCAGUUUGGUUAACCUGAAAUCUCAAUCGAGUGACUCCCUUUAAUCAAGCGAUUCCCUUUAACUAAAACCAAAAUGUUGCCUUCAACUCGGUUAACCUAAAAUCUCAAUUUAGAGACCCCUCUUUAACUAGAACCUUAGUCUUUUUUUUUUAGCUCGGUCAACUUGAGAUCCCAAUCUUAUGAUCCCAUUUAACAAGAACCAAAAUAUUGCCUUCAACUCGGUUAACCUAAAAUCUCAAUUUAGGGAACUCUCUUUAACUAGAACCUUAGUCUUUUUCUUUAGCUCGGUCAACUUGAGAUUCCAAUCCUACGAAUCUUGAAACAUCAUCCCCUUCUUAGUCCUACUUUGAUUUGCCAAAAAAAUGGAAAAGAAUGAAUGAUAUGGUGGAGAACUAGACCGGUCUUUACCAUUGGCUAGAACCAACCAUAGGCUGCUUAGAAAGCAACCUUCAACACCUAAAAACAAACCACCACAUAACAACCCUGCAAUUAUCAACAACAACAUCUAGUUCUAGCUACCUAGUCUAUGUCAAAGAAUAGAAUCUGAGGCAACUUUUUGACCAAAAUUCCAUUCUCUAUUAUUCCUUCAAUAUUGGGGUUUAAUGCAAGCAACUUGUUUAUUCGGAUUUGAGAUGUAAAUAGAUUUUAAUUUUGUUAGGAUGAGGUGGUCAGGUUGCGUCACAUUGAUUAUGUCAUGAAGUUAACUAGAGUAAGAAAUAAAGAUAUCAAGUUUCGGAGAGAAUCAAGAUCAGUUAAAGCAAAAAAAAAAAAAAACAGAUUAUGAAAAUAAAUUGGAAACGAAAAGUUUAGUUAUAAGGAAUUAGAUUCACAAACAAAUUUAAGUCUCAUCAAUUCUAGGAAACAAGUUGGAAGGAAUCAAUUUUACAAAAAUUGACCUUCGCACUAGAGAGAACCUUCGAGCCACUUCAAAUGUACUGAAGGCCAUUUGUUUGCCAUAUGUGCUAAUUAAGAACAUAAUUCUAUUCUUUUGUGAGUUAAUAUUCUGUAAAAUAAGCUUGGAAUAGCUUGCGGGGGCUUGGCUCAGAGAUCAUUGAGUUUUUACUACAAAUUGCCUUUUAAUUUUUUUCCACCUGUAAUUGGAUUCGAUAAGUUUCCCUUUUGUUUACAUAUGAAGAACAAACAUUGCUUGAGGUUAUCCAAUGCCGAGAUCAAGGUCAGAUAAUACUAGCGAACCCCUAAUCAGGAUUAAGAAGCAAAAAAAAUGUUAAGUGCAGCUUAUCCAAUGCCGAGACCAAGGUCAGAUAAUAUCCUGAUUGUGCUUAUUGCCAUUAAUUAGAAACUGCAAUAUCGUCACAUAAUUAAACUGAGAUUAUUCUGAUUAGAGAACAGAAGGAAUCUUCUUUCAUAAUUGGCUUUUGCGAAGGUUUAGUGUUUUUGCUGCUACUGCUUUUGGACCUGACUUGAUUCCUGAUCGGUCGAAAAAGCAUUAGUCCAAAAGCAGGGAAGCUUUUGUUUUCUUUAAUCACAUGAUCAGAUAUUAUAAUUUAUGCCCAACACAAAUUCAUAAAAGUGGCUCUAAGAUUGGCUGACAACAGUUGUUAAUGAGCAGUGUUUGCAUCCCUUAUUUUUCAGUUUACUAAGUAUUUAGAACAUUCAAUUCCAAUCCAAAGUCGAUAAUAAUAAACUCUUGGUAAUGGUUUUGUCAUCGAUGGUGAUCGGACGACAAAAAAACCAGUAAAAUUGUUUUAUAUAAAAAGUUUAUUAAGUAUUGAAAACAUCCAAAUCUAACAUGUUUUACUUUUUUGUGUUUAAAUAUGAUAUUAAUAAACUUUUGGUGAUAUUUUUUUUUUCAUUUUGUGAUGCUUUUAUCGUCAGUAGUGAUAAGAUGAAGAAAAGCUAUUGAUUUUUCUCUCAGCAAUGGUUUGUUUUAUCGUACACAAAUGUUGGGUGCUUUUAUUUACAAAAAGGAGUACUGUCUACCAUUAUUCAUUCCACAGCUGUUGUCAACCAAACCUUUCCUUUCUAUAUAAAGGUGGCUUGGCCUCCUACAUAUUAGCCAAAGCAAGAAAACCAACAAAACCUAUAAACAGCUACUUGUCUUUGUGUGUUGAUUAAUUGUAGUUAACAUGGCACGUCAGGCAGAUCGUCUUGUUAAGAUUGGGCAGGAGGGUUUUGCAACCAUUGAUGAGCACUUCGGCCGGGCCAAGAGGCGGCCACCAGUUAUGAAGGUUCCCUAUGCUCAUCCCACAUAUUACUAUGCAACAGAAGUUAUCGACAGCAACGAGGCAGCUCAACGCUACAAGGGGAGGGUUUAUGUCGAUUACCCUAAGGGUAAACCAGUUCCGUUUUAAAGACCUAUUGAUUAAUCACUUAGCUUUCUUGUAUGCAUAACCUCCUCCAGUUGUGUUACCUUUAGUCCUGUACGAUAUUCUCCCUCUGCUAAACGUAGACGAGGAGAGGUUGCUAGAACUCGAGUCAGGAGCUUCUUCUUACUUCUUCAAAUAAACUUUCUGUGAUUUAUAUAUCAUUUUCUAUUUGUAUGUAUUGUCAUAAUUAUCUUUCUUACUUCCUCAUUAUCAC